rnacentral:lncRNA from 1 species
UUUCAAAAUUAAUCGACCUCUUCCAUCUUGCUACCCUCUGCAUCAGCAUCAGCUUCCUCCAAUGGUGGCAUGUCAGCAUCAGCUUCUGCUGCAUCCUCAUCAAUGCUAAGUCCAAGCUUGAGCAUCCUGUGAAUCCUGUUGCCAAAGGUGUUGGGCUCAUCAAGGCUGAAUCCAGAGGUAAGAAGAGCAGUCUCAAACAGCAAGAGGACAAGAUCCUUCACAGAUUUGUCAUUCCUAUCAGCAUCAGCACGUUUCCUCAGCUCCUCCAUAAUGGGAUUCUCAGGGUUGAUUUCCAUUGUCUUCUUGCUUGACAUGUAACCAGCCAUGCUGCUAUCCCUCAAAGCCUGUGCCUUCAUGAUCCUCUCCAUGUUGGCAGUCCAACCAUACUCACCAGUCACUAGACAGCAAGGAGAGUCCACAACUCGGUCAGAAACAACCACUUUCUCAACCUUGUCGCCCAACACUUCCUUGAUCACCUUGCAGAGGUUGUCAAAUUUCUCCUUCUGUUCAUCCAUCUUUUUCUUUUCAUCCUCGCUCUCAUCAAGUUUCAAACCUUCCUUAGUUGCAGAUACCAGCUUCUUUCCCUCAAAUUCCUUGAGCUGGCCAACAGCAUAUUCAUCUAUAGCGUCAACCAUGUAAAUCACUUCAUAUCCCUUCUUCCUAAGUUUCUCAAGGAAGGGGGAAUUCUCAACAGCUUUCUUGCUUUCACCGGUGAUGUAGUAAAUGUCAUUCUGUCCUUCCUUCAUCCUGGUAACGUAGUCCUUGAGGCUGGUCAUGUCAUCACCACUCUUGGUGGAGUGGUACCUGAGCAAAUCAGCAAGCUUUGUCUUGUUUUGAGAAUCCUCAUGGAUACCCAGCUUCAAGUUCUUAGAGAAGGCCUCAUAGAACUUGUUGUAGUCUUCCUUGUUCUCAGCAAUUUCAAAGAAAAGCUCAAGGCACUUCUUCACCAAGUUCUUCCUUAUGACCUUGAGAAUCUUGUUCUGUUGAAGCAUCUCUCUUGAAAUGUUAAGUGGGAGAUCUUCAGAGUCCACAAUACCCUUCACAAAGCUAAGAUACUCAGGCAUCAACUCCUCACAGUUGUCCAUGAUGAAAACACGGCGGACAUACAGCUUGAUGUUGUUGGGCUUCUUCUUUGUGUCAAAGAGAUCAAAAGGUGCUCUCUUGGGUACAAAGAGAACAGCCUUAAACUCCAACUGACCCUCAACUGAGAAGUGCUUAACAGCCAAAUGCUCUUCCCAAUCAUUGGUGAGACUCUUGUAAAAAGCAGCAUACUCAUCCUUUGUAAUCUCCUCGGGCUUCCUCAUCCAAAUAGGUUUUUGCUUGUUCACCAAAGACCAUUCAUUAGACACCUCCUUAAUCUUUUUCUUUUUCUUCUCUUCCUUUUCUUUCUCCUCAUCUACUUCCUCAACCUUACCCUCCUCUUCCUUCUUCUCUUCCUCAUCCUCAUCAUCAGAAAUCUCUUUCUCAAUAGUCUUCUCAACCCAAAGAGAAAUUGGAUAGCUGAUAAAUUCAGAAUGUUUCUUAACCAAGUCCUUCAGACGGCGUUCCUCAAGAUACUCAAGUUGAUCCUCCUUGAGGAUGAGAGUUAUCUUAGUUCCCCUGCCAAGAGCUUCGCCAGUUGUGUCCCUAGUCACAGUGAAUGACCCUCCAGCUUGAGACUCCCACACAUACUGUUCAUCAUCGUUGUGCUUUGUGGUAACAAUAACCUUCUCGGCAACAAGGUAGGCAGAGUAGAAACCAACACCAAACUGUCCAAUCAUGCUCACAUCAGCACCAGCAGCUAUGGCUUCCAUGAAUUCCUUGGUACCAGACCUAGCAAUGGUACCUAGGUUGUUCACCAAAUCUGGAACAAAAAUACAUAGAAAUAUUAGUAAACAACAUAAAAUAUCACACGACACAGUGCUGCUACAUAAACCAAUUUCAGGCUAAGAAAAGGGAGAAAAAAAAAGCAUAUUAACUUACCAGCUUUGGUCAUUCCAAUCCCACUAUCAAUGAUAGUCAAAGUGUUGUUGGUCUUGUCAGGAAUAAUGUGAAUGAACAACUCUGGCUGAGAAUCAAGCUUGCUCUUGUCGGUCAAGCCCUCAAACCGAAUCUUAUCCAAAGCCUACAUUACAAAAUUCCAGCACAUAAUCAGAACAAUAUUCAUACCCACAACAGAAAAUCAUCUAUCACAUUAAUCAUUCAUAAAAUCGAAUCCUAACAAUCCAAAGUAAUAGUAACAAUUAUACUUCUAGAAACAAGGAUUUCUAGUCACAAACAACUUCAAUUUGAAAAUUAAAGGAUCAACAAACCUUCCAUUCAAAAAUUAAAGAGUUGAUUAUGAUUAACAUAGAUUACUUGUCACAUACAACUUUCAUUCAAAGACUAAAGUGCCGAUUAUAUCAAUAACAUUACAUAGUAUAUGAUUAAAUGAAAACAUUACACAGUAACAAAUAGAUCACAUAAUCAAGGUUGUUAUCAAUACAAACGGGACUAAUUAAAAAUUUAAUUUCAAUUUAGGUAUUUCAAGUAUCACUCUAAUAUGAAUCAACGAUAGAACAAUCAUCACAAUUUAACUUUAAAUUAAAAUCAAUGAAACCUAAACAUGACUAACAAAUCAUCACUGUUAAUCAUAAUCAACCAUCAUAAUCAUCACUGUUAAACAACAACGGAAAAAUCACAAAGAUCCUAAACAACGCCACCAACCAAAACCCUAGGAGUAUAUAAUCAAUUAACAUAAACCCUAAAAUUGAAAAAAUAAUCCAAUUAAAACGAUAACAAAAGAAAUCAUCAAAAUCAUAAUAAAAUAGAACCUAAACUAGAUCGAACCCUAAUAAAGAUAAAAAAUAAAAUAAAAAAGCAAAAAAAAAAAACGAAGAGGAAGAAGCUUACAUCGGAAGCGUUGCUGAUGAGUUCACGAAGAAAAAUCUCCUUGUUGCUGUAAAAAGUAUUGAUGAUGAGACUAAGAAGUUGAUUGAUCUCAGCCUGGAAAGCGAACGUCUCUUGUUCCGCCAUUGCCGAUCUGGUUUUUCUAGAGAGAGAAAGCGUUUGUCGUAGAGAGAGAGAGAGUGAACGAGUUUUGCAGAGUGUGAAGUGAGUGAGUUGUUAUAUAAUAAGUGUUUGCUAGGGUUUCUCGUUUUCUAGAUCCUUCUAUUUCUAUAUUUAUAAUUAUAAAUUAAAUAACUUUAUUUGUUCAAAUAAUAACUUUAACUUAAUUGCGAUUAUUUGGGUCCACUUUACUCUCAACUUACCACUUGGAUUUUUUUUUUGAAGGAACUAACCACUUGGAUGUGAAGCGUAGACUUGGUUUUCUUCUUUUUUAUUUCUUUUUCUGUUUUAUUUACACCAAUAAUAUUUGAAGGUUGAUCGAAGAUUCUACUUGGUUUUUUCAACAAAAAAAAAAACAUUCUAGUUGGUUUUAUUCUUUUAAAUAGAUAAAUUGUUUUGCAUUUAUUUUUUAUGAAAGCAUUUGGAAAGUUUUACAAAAAUUAUAUUUUUACUCCUUUCACAAAAAAAUUAUUUUUUUUUACUAUUUAUUUAGACUAAAAUACACUUUUUACCCUAAAGGUUUUUAAAACUAACGAUUUUGGUCCUCUUAUUUUGAACCUGUACCCUUUUUCAAAGCCAAUUUUGCAAAAUUGUGGUCCUCCCUAAUUUUGAAUUAAUCAGAGCAUGUUUGACACAUUUUUUCCUAAACCAAGUAUCAUCCAAGUCAUCUAUGUGAGUUUUGACACACAAAAAAAAGAGGUCUCAUGCGAUAUUUGUUGUAUAACGGGCAAAUCUACAUUGUUUAUCUUCUUCUCCAUAAAAUAGGGAUUGCUCCUUCAUCUUCCACAUCCAACUCUUUAUUGUUUCUUCUUCUUCUUCAUUCAUUCGUUCUUCCCUUUUUCAUCAAUCUCCAUUGUUUUUUUUUUUUUACUAUAAAAUAGGGAUUGGUCCUCUUAUUUCCUCUUGUUUUAUUUUUCAUAUAUAUCUCCAAAAACCGAAUCUUUUUUUUUUUUUUUGCAUAAAUAUGUCAAUAAACUCAUCCAAUUAAUUAUUUAAGUCUCUUUUGAUAUUACUGUGUGUGUAUAUAUAUAUAUUUACAGGGAUGGACAUACUCUUUAUAUUUAUACAUUCAAUUUCCAUCCAACUUUAUUUGGUGGUGUCUGGGGUUCGAACCCCAGACCUUGCAUAUACUAUGCAUUGUCCUUACCAACUGAGAUAAACUCACGGAGACUUCCAUCCAAUUGUUUGUUUCUUUAUUGUCUCUAAUUAUUCAACUUUUAUAGUUUAUACAUAUAAUAAAUUGGUUUAAUAGUAGUUUUGGCCCCCUAAGUAUUAGAAAGUUGCAAUUUUGAACCCCUAGCAAAAAUAAAAUAUAAAAUUGCCCCCUAAGUAUUGCCCCUUUUGCAGUUUUGGCCCCCCAAACCAAUGUUGACCAAGUCAGAGUUGACAUGGACAUCACGUGUGUAUUUUUUUUUAAUUAUUAAAAAAAUUAUUAUUUUUAAUUAAAAAAAUAAAAUAUUUUUUAAUUAAAAAAAAAAUACACAUGUGGCAUCCACGUGUGCAUUGACUUUUCAAAAUUGGUCUGGGGCCAAAACUGCAAAAGGGGCAAUACUUUAGGGAGCGGUUUUGUAUUUUAAUUUGUUAGGGGGCUAAAAUCGCAACUUCUUGAAACAUAGGCGCCAAAACUAAUGUUAAGCCAACAAAUCAAACUAAUUAUAAUUCGAAGUCGACUAUGCAUCCAUCAACUUCAUCUAUAUUAUUUACAAUUUGUCCUCGUGAGCUUAGCUCACUUGGUAAGAACAAUGCAUAUGCAAGGUUUGGGGUUCAAUCCUCGACCACCACAAUAAAAAAAAUCUACAAUUUUAAUUUUCUUUUUUGGUCAAGAAUUUUAAAUUUUUUUUAAUAAAACGAAUUAUCAACAUAUCCAUUUUUAUAGGGUUUUUUUUAGUCAUUCAAUUCAUAUGUUCUAUAUAUAACAAAUUAACUCACUAUCUCUAAAAAAACAAAUUAAUGAAUCAACCACUUUUGAAUCAUGCACUUUUAUACGGUGACCAAUCAUCUAUUUUUUAUGUUGAACAAUUAUAUGUACACACACUAACAUUGAGACAGACAAUGCUAGAUUAUUUUUUUUGCGCUAAUGCAUAUAAAUUAGGAAAAAUAGUUAUUAUAAAAUUUUAAUUAAAAUUAUUUUUAUUUUGAUUAAAAUAUAUGUUGACAUUUUGCGCUUUUUUAUUAUAACAAACUAUACUUAUAUUUUACAAUGACACCAACAAUAUAAGAAUUAUAAUAUAAAUUCUUAUUUUUUUUUAAUAAUACCAUAAAUAUAACAUUCUCAUAGAGGUAGAUUUAUUUAAGAGUAUAAUUAAAGGUGAAAAAACCACCGUAAAACAUUUAUUCCCUUUCCGUAGUAACUGUAUAAAUUAUUCUAUAACUCAAAUUUUAUUUAUCAUAUUUAUUUUCAUAAAAACAAUAAAAAAAAACCAACUAUACUAAUUUAAGAUUUAUAUAUAAUUAUUUAUAUUUUUCUCCAAUUUAUCUAUUUUAUUAGUUAACAUAUCUAUAUAUAUAUUAAUGUAAGACUCACUCAAAAAAAAAUUAAAGUAAGAUUAUUCAAUUUAAAGAAAUUCACUUUUAGCAUCUCUUAUUUUUUCAAAUUCACUUCAUUUCCCUUUUAUGCAUUCAAAUUCUCUUCAAUUUCGCUUUUAUAUAUUUAACAUAAAUAUAGCAACAAAUUAUAUCUGAUUUUGUUUUACAUAAAAAUCUCAAUAAACGAUGUAUAUUAAUUUGAUUUUAUCCAUUAAAUAUAUAAUUUAAUUUUUUAAUUCAUUUUUAAUAAGAAUCAAAAUUAAAUUUUACUUAAAUUUACUAAAACACACGAAAGAGAGCUUGAGAAGGAUUCAAGGAUUCAGGGACUCUCUCCUGUUAGCAAAAGGAACAAUGUCUUGGUUGCACGUUUCACUGCAUCAUAACAAUUACAGGAUGAUCUUCAAGGUCCAAUAACAGGUGUAGAUAUAGCUCAAGGUCCAAAUCAAGGAGGUAUAGACGUGGUAGUGGUUCUUCAACAACUUGAUGAUCAUAUUGAUCAUAUCCAAGGUCCAAUUCAAAAAGGUGUAGAGAUUGAUCAAGUAUCGGUGGCUCUUCAAGACUAUGCGCGUACAAGGACACUUGCUCAGAUAUUUGGUUAUAGCAAAAAUGUUGAGCAUGGAGAUUUCAUGAACUAUUCCAAGACGACAACAAUGAGUUGAUUUCGAUAUGUUUUGUUCACAAUUUUGCUGAAAAUGCAGAAUUGCUGAAGACUAUUCCAUAGAAUUUAGUUGAUUUCGAUACGUUUUGUUCACAAUUAAUCAGUAUUUUUUUUUUUUACAGGUACGUAGCCAUUAACUAAAUCAACAUUACCUAACUGUCACCCUUGUUUUCAGUAUUAUUUUUUGGCUUUCGUUGUCUUGUAUCAAAAUGUAUGGUGUUUCCUUAUUUUUAUGAAUGUCUAAAGCAAAUUACAACUUUUAAUAUAGUUCUUAAGUUACAUUUAGAAUUUCAACAAUUAAAACAAUGAAAUAUCGCCUUAACAGAACAUCUUGAUAUUGUUGUUCCUAUCUAGACGAACCUUGUUUUGCUACGCGCUUGUGCCUUUUUCCUUGAUUGAUGAUAUAAAAAUUCAACAUGUCUUGAAUUGCUAGGGGCGUUCAUUAUGCAUAAUUGUGUUAUAAAUUGCUAACACUUAUCAAAUUAUCGUGAUAUAAAAAUUCAAAAAGAAAGUAAUAGAUGUAAAAUAUUUACAAAUUACAAGUAGUAGCAUCUGAAGAGUACAACAGGGACACAACUAUUAUCUAGUGUACGUGCCUGCAUUGGCAGGCUGCCACAACAAAUGUGUCAGUAGGGUUAAACCAACAAACCUUCCUUGAAUUUGGAUUCCCAACUGGUAUGUCAAGCACAUCGGAGAAUUCCAGCAACUUCUCUUUAUUACGUUGGUCAAAAAAUAUCUUUACUUUAAUCAUUUGCUUUUCCUGCAGUAACGAUAUUUGGUUUUAGAAGCUUAAAAAGAGAAGUGGUUAAUUAUGCAUAAAAGCAAGCAACCAUUCAUUGUUAUAUAUGACUUACUUGCAAGUUACAAGCAUGCCUCAUUUUCAUGCUACAUAAAACCAGAAAACCUUUAAAUUUUACUUAGUCGCAGCUGCCUGCGAAAUACUUGGUAAAAGAUUAGCUAAAUAGAAGCAUAAUAACAUCUGUUUGACCAAUUAAUUUCAUUAUUCCAAGUAAGUGUAACGUGAAAUGAAAAAUAAGUGGUAUAAUGCAAGAGGAUUGUUCGUGAAUGUGAAGUAGGAUAUCCCUUUCCUCUCCUACCAAAGAGGAUUUUAUGGAGCAAUUUAAGAGUAUAAUCAAUCUUCUUUCCGGAUAAUUUAAGUACCACUGAAGCAUAAAAUACAAGAGUCAUAAAAAUUACUAGCUGCUACGAUGCAAAAACAUGUAUCUAAGGCAUAAAGUGCGUUAUAAACAUGAACAUGAAAAAUUAUAAGAGAAAAUUCAUAUCACACAAUUAAGGGUAACUAUGAAUCUGAGGUGAAUACCUUUUCAAUUUGAAAUUAUUAGGAUGCAUCUAUGUCAUAUGAUUUCUACCAACCUCGAAAUUGAUUUCCUUUCACGUAGAGGACAAUUGGUUGUAGGAGUUGUUGACUCUGUCUCCUUCAGUUCCUUUAUUUUCUUUUUCACCUCCUAAUGGUCAUUUCCCCUCCCGCACUUUUUUAAUCCUUUCUCAACUUCGAUAUCUUCAGAACCAUCGUCAUUUGACUUAUCGUCAACCUUAUCCUUACCAUCCAACCCCUAUUCUCGGCUUUUCUUUUCUCCUUUUCACAGUUCUUAUGUUUGACUUCAGGAAUAUCCUCUAUCCUCUAUCUCCUUUUGUUCCUUCGUUUUCCUUUUUCACCUUCCACCCUUCAACCUUUCCUUUCCUACAUUUUUCAAAUCCUUCCUCCACUUUGACAUCUUCAUUUGUCCAAUGUUGUAUGCAGAGCAGCUGUAGUUCCUUUGAAUUAUCAGUGAAAGAUUAGGGCUUACAAUGUACUUGUAUUUAAAUAUUGUGAUCCAUACUACAUUACCCCUGAAUCAUACUGCAGGGGCAGCCACAAUCCCCCACAAGAACCAUUUGGGUCAAGCCCAAGGGCAGGUCGAACAAGCAGAAAGGUCUCACCCGCUUCGCUCUUUCAACCUUGCCCACUUGCAAGAACCUAUGAGUCAUACUCAACAAAACAAGAUUAAGACCAUCCUCCAGCUAGAGUAGUGGAAUAACACAACUAUGAAAGAUACAAAACAAGAUUAUACAUACACUCCUAAAAAUAUAUUGUGACAAAUAAAAUUUGACGUUAUAGGAAAAUCAUACCUUAUUUUUUUUUGAGUUGUUAUUGAUAAAAGACACUAUAUACAUCUAUCUUUUACUUACUUUUUAUCUUAUACACCAUACAGAAAUUUGGAUAUACAUAAACAAGAAAAUAAAGAGACACUAUUUCGUGUCAGUUUUUGAUAUUCAAAUAUCAUUACUCUUUUAUUUUACAUCUAUGACAUUCUUUGACAUCCGCUUUGAUGCGUUGAGGAGGGACAUCACCACAACAUUUCCAAUCACAAAGCUUAAGUUUAAGUUUUUCUUUUUUGAUGAGAGAAGAUUAGGUAUCAUUUACUUGACCAUUUAUGUAAAAAUGGAUAUUGCAUUUGUUACUUUUCUUUCAUGACAAUAUAUGGUUUUGUAGUCAAGACUUCUUGAAGCGAUAUGAAUAUUACAUAUUUUUAGAAUAUUUUUACACAAACAACUUGUCACAUUUCAAUAAUCAAAUGGGAAACAAUGCAAUUAGAUAUAAAUCAAACACUUAAGAUUAACCAUAUUUAUAGGCCACUCCUGCUAACUCAGAGGACACAACAAAAUAGUUUGGGCAAAUUCCAAAAACAAUACCUCUCACAAUAAAAUCAAAACGUGCAACUCAAAAAAGCAUUAAAAUUAUCAAUCGCAGUCAAAGAGUGUUAAUCUGAGCUACUCUUCUCCGCAUAUACUCCAAAACCGUUUCCAAUGGCUGAAGAGAGUACGUAAUUUGGCUCUUCAAAAAUGGAGAAAUUACACUGAUCUCCCAUGAAGUCUCUUUGGAGGACACAAACAUGACUUAAAAAAAAUGUUAUUUUUCUGUUUCGGUUUCUAUUGAUGAUGAUAAUCUUCAUCCACUAAACUUAAAUUUCUGCCAUUUUUUGCAAGUUUCUCUUUAUUUCAAAUUUCAACUAUCAUAACUCGCUGCUUUCAUUGAAGAAUACCCAAAAAAAGCCAGACUAUUAACUUCUGUCUGAACAAUGUAAUUUUUUUUUUUCGCAUAGCAAUACAGCCUACAGGGUAUUUGUUAUUAUGUCUGAACAGUGUCUAACGCAAGAGUGUCUACUGUAUUUCAUAAGUUGUUGGAUUUAAUGGAUUAUGGCUAGAAAAAAAAACAAUAAUCCCUCCAUUUAUCACUUUUGAAGAAUAAUUUUGUUUCAAUUUACCUGUCACUUUUAUAUUUCAAUGCAAUAUUAAGAAGAAUAAAAUGAGAACGGAAUUUAUCCAACGAGAACCAAAGAAAAAGACUUGUGCUUUACGUCUUUUGUGUUGGAACUUGGAAUGUUGGGUGUUGAGUGUAGAGAAGGUAAAUCAGAUCAUUAGUUUUUCUUUUUAUAAAAAUAAUUUGAUAGAAAACGGUGUCAAACAUUAGAGAAAAUCACCGUAAAAUAACUUAGAGGGAUGUUCGUGUCGUUUAAAUAGACCUUCAAAAAAUAUGAGCGUAUUUUUCCCUUAAAAAAAAUUCCAAUCAUAAUGUCUUAAAACACAUCACCUUUCAUCUCUAUUUUUCAGAUCUAUUUUCACCGUUAUUUGUGAAAUAAAGUCCGCAUUAAAAACGAAUAAAAGAUAUAAAUCCAUAAAUCAAAAAUUGGCAUACCAACACUAUAAUGAUGUUUCUACCAACAAAAACACUAUAUCGUUUAUUUCUUUAAGACUAACUUUUUGGUUCGAUAAAUUGAUAAGAUAGAUAUUUAGUACUUCUCUAAAAUAAUCAAUAACCAAUGAGUUGUUUUUUUUUUCUUUCAGAGAUGAAUGAAAGGAAGAAACAAAUGACGGAAUGUAAUAAUAAAAUAAAGAAAAAUGAUAUUAGAACAAUCAUUUUCUACAACUUUUUUGACAACUUUCUCUCUCAUAUUUACAUUAUCUUUUUACUUUUUCUCUCUAUUCCUUUGAUCUUUGUGUCACUACCAUUUCCUUUAUAAAAUUUUGACUGUCAUAAAAGUUGACACAUAUAUCGAUGUUCAAAUAACACAACUUUAAACUAAACAAAAACGUACCUUUACAGCAAAAAAAACACCUUAAAAACAAUAACUAAUAAGGAAGUUAAAAUAUACUUGUAAAUUGGCCAGUUAUAUACGAACGCAUUCUUCAGCUUCGCUUCACCGGUCCAGAAAAUAAAGUAUGAGCACAGAAGCACGAAUUUGUAUCAAAAUAUAAAAGGACACACCAACGAUUGUCAACAAUUGACACACCAAAAGUUACGAUACGUAAACAAUAGCUACGCUGGUCCAGAAAAUUGCAUCUAAUAAAUUCCAAAAUUCAAAAUUAAAGAAAAAACAUGAUAAAAAUACUGUUUCUCAACCUCACGCCUUCCUAAACAAUAGCAUCUAUUUCAAAAUUAAUCGACCUCUUCCAUCUUGCUACCCUCUGCAUCAGCAUCAGCUUCCUCCAAUGGUGGCAUGUCAGCAUCAGCUUCUGCUGCAUCCUCAUCAAUGCUAAGUCCAAGCUUGAGCAUCCUGUGAAUCCUGUUGCCAAAGGUGUUGGGCUCAUCAAGGCUGAAUCCAGAGGUAAGAAGAGCAGUCUCAAACAGCAAGAGGACAAGAUCCUUCACAGAUUUGUCAUUCCUAUCAGCAUCAGCACGUUUCCUCAGCUCCUCCAUAAUGGGAUUCUCAGGGUUGAUUUCCAUUGUCUUCUUGCUUGACAUGUAACCAGCCAUGCUGCUAUCCCUCAAAGCCUGUGCCUUCAUGAUCCUCUCCAUGUUGGCAGUCCAACCAUACUCACCAGUCACUAGACAGCAAGGAGAGUCCACAACUCGGUCAGAAACAACCACUUUCUCAACCUUGUCGCCCAACACUUCCUUGAUCACCUUGCAGAGGUUGUCAAAUUUCUCCUUCUGUUCAUCCAUCUUUUUCUUUUCAUCCUCGCUCUCAUCAAGUUUCAAACCUUCCUUAGUUGCAGAUACCAGCUUCUUUCCCUCAAAUUCCUUGAGCUGGCCAACAGCAUAUUCAUCUAUAGCGUCAACCAUGUAAAUCACUUCAUAUCCCUUCUUCCUAAGUUUCUCAAGGAAGGGGGAAUUCUCAACAGCUUUCUUGCUUUCACCGGUGAUGUAGUAAAUGUCAUUCUGUCCUUCCUUCAUCCUGGUAACGUAGUCCUUGAGGCUGGUCAUGUCAUCACCACUCUUGGUGGAGUGGUACCUGAGCAAAUCAGCAAGCUUUGUCUUGUUUUGAGAAUCCUCAUGGAUACCCAGCUUCAAGUUCUUAGAGAAGGCCUCAUAGAACUUGUUGUAGUCUUCCUUGUUCUCAGCAAUUUCAAAGAAAAGCUCAAGGCACUUCUUCACCAAGUUCUUCCUUAUGACCUUGAGAAUCUUGUUCUGUUGAAGCAUCUCUCUUGAAAUGUUAAGUGGGAGAUCUUCAGAGUCCACAAUACCCUUCACAAAGCUAAGAUACUCAGGCAUCAACUCCUCACAGUUGUCCAUGAUGAAAACACGGCGGACAUACAGCUUGAUGUUGUUGGGCUUCUUCUUUGUGUCAAAGAGAUCAAAAGGUGCUCUCUUGGGUACAAAGAGAACAGCCUUAAACUCCAACUGACCCUCAACUGAGAAGUGCUUAACAGCCAAAUGCUCUUCCCAAUCAUUGGUGAGACUCUUGUAAAAAGCAGCAUACUCAUCCUUUGUAAUCUCCUCGGGCUUCCUCAUCCAAAUAGGUUUUUGCUUGUUCACCAAAGACCAUUCAUUAGACACCUCCUUAAUCUUUUUCUUUUUCUUCUCUUCCUUUUCUUUCUCCUCAUCUACUUCCUCAACCUUACCCUCCUCUUCCUUCUUCUCUUCCUCAUCCUCAUCAUCAGAAAUCUCUUUCUCAAUAGUCUUCUCAACCCAAAGAGAAAUUGGAUAGCUGAUAAAUUCAGAAUGUUUCUUAACCAAGUCCUUCAGACGGCGUUCCUCAAGAUACUCAAGUUGAUCCUCCUUGAGGAUGAGAGUUAUCUUAGUUCCCCUGCCAAGAGCUUCGCCAGUUGUGUCCCUAGUCACAGUGAAUGACCCUCCAGCUUGAGACUCCCACACAUACUGUUCAUCAUCGUUGUGCUUUGUGGUAACAAUAACCUUCUCGGCAACAAGGUAGGCAGAGUAGAAACCAACACCAAACUGUCCAAUCAUGCUCACAUCAGCACCAGCAGCUAUGGCUUCCAUGAAUUCCUUGGUACCAGACCUAGCAAUGGUACCUAGGUUGUUCACCAAAUCUGGAACAAAAAUACAUAGAAAUAUUAGUAAACAACAUAAAAUAUCACACGACACAGUGCUGCUACAUAAACCAAUUUCAGGCUAAGAAAAGGGAGAAAAAAAAAGCAUAUUAACUUACCAGCUUUGGUCAUUCCAAUCCCACUAUCAAUGAUAGUCAAAGUGUUGUUGGUCUUGUCAGGAAUAAUGUGAAUGAACAACUCUGGCUGAGAAUCAAGCUUGCUCUUGUCGGUCAAGCCCUCGAACCGAAUCUUAUCCAAAGCCUACAUCACAACAUUCCAUCACAAGAAUCAGAACAGCAUUCAUACCCACAACAACAAAAUCAUCUAUCACAUCAAACAUUCAUAAAACCCAACCCAAAGAUCCAAAGUAAUAGUAACAAUUAUACUUCCAAAAACAUGGAGUUCUAGUCACAAACAACUUCCAUUCAAAAAGGAAAGAGUUGAUUGUAACAAUAACAUCGCAUAUAUGUGAUUAACAUAGAUUAUUUGUCACAUACAACUUUCAUUCAUAUAAUUAAAGGACCAAUUCAACUUUCCUUCAAAAAUUAAAGUGCCGAUUAUAUCAAUAACCUUCAUAGUAUAUGAUUUAAGUGAAAACGUUAAACAGCAAAAAAUAGAUCACAUAAUCAGUAUUGAUAUCAAUACAAGCCGGACUAAUUAAAAUUCAAUUUAAAUUUAGGUAUUUCAUGUAUGACUCUAAUAUGAAUCAACAAUGAAAAACAUAUUCGGUUCAAAAUCAAGAAAACGUUAAUUAACCGAAUAGAACAUUGAUUUAAAUUUGAUUUUAAAUUGUGAUUAAUGAAACCUAAACAUGACUAACAAAUCAUCACUGUGUUCAAACAACAACAACGGAAAAAUCACAAAGAUGCUAAACAACGCCACCAACUAAAACCCUAAAAGUAUGUAAUCAAUUAACAUAAACCCUAAAAUUGAAAAAAUAAUCCAAUAAAAACGAUAACAAAAGAAAUCAUCAAAAUCAUCAUAAUAAAAUAGAACCUAAACUAGAUCGAACCCUAAUAAACAAAAAAAAAAAGAGCGAAGAGGAAGAAGCUUACAUCGGAAGCAUUACUGAUGAGUUCACGAAGAAAAAUCUCCUUGUUACUGUAAAAGGUGUUGAUGAUUAGACUGAGAAGUUGAUUGAUCUCAGCCUGGAAAGCAAACGUCUCUUGUUCCGCCAUUGCCGAUCUGGAAAUUUUCGUAGAGAGAGAAAGUGUUUUGUUUUGUUGUAUUGUAGGGAGAGAAAAUAAGAGAGAGUUGCAAAGUGUGAGGAGAAUGAGAUAUUAUAUAGUGAGUGUUAGCUAGGGUUUUCUCGAUCCUUCUUUUUUUUUUUUUUUUUUUUUGGUAUAGUUUUUCUAGAUCCUUCUAUUUCUAUAUUUAUGAACUAAAUAAUUUUAUUUGGGUCCACUUUACUCUCAAAACUAACCACUUGGAUGGGAAGCGUGGACUUGGUUUACUUCUUCUCCUUUUUUUAUUUAUCUACAGCAAUAAUAUUUUUUUUAUGAUAGUUGGGUUUGAACUAAGACUUUGUAUAUAUUAUGUAUUAUUCUUAUCAAUUGAGUUAAGUUUACGAUAACUUAUAACAAUAAUAUUUGAUACUCACGUGAUAGGUUUUAUCAAACAUUUAGUUAGUUGAUUUUAAUUUUUAGCAAAAUAUUAACGGAUGUCUUUAGGCUUUGGGUAUUUAAGGAAGCUAAUAUAAUAAAAAAAUAGAAUUUGUGUAGUCAAAUUUUUUAAAGUGUAAAGAAUAUUUUUUACAAUGCAAUUUUUUUACUUUUGUUUUUCAUAAUCGAUGCCUCAGACACUAAUUAACUUGAUCCUUUUUUAAAGAUAAAUUACUAUGAUUUUUAUUUUAUUUUAUGAAAGUAUAAUUUUUACUAAAAUAUAGUUUAUAAGAAAUUAUUUUUUUAUUAUUUUUUUUAAAAGCAAAGAAACACCAUACACCGACGACUUAUGCGAUAAUCCCGUGAUCAUACUUCAAAUGGUAGAAUAUUUAAAGUUUGUUGGUAAGAGGUGGGAACUGAAAAUAGGCUAGGUCAUUCGUCACGAACUAUGGACCGGUCCAACUUUUUUAAAAUCCGGUCAAACAUAACUCGUUUAAUAACUAGGUCAAGUUUAGACUUUUUAAAAAGUCUGUUAAUUUAAAUAAUUCAGGUUAAGGUUUAUAAAAACUAUUAGAUCUAUCAGACCGACUCGUAUAUGAGUAUAUUACAUUUUUGUUAUUAUUGUUGACUUUGUUUACUUUUUAAAAGCUUAUUAAGUUAUCAUUUAAGAAUCAUAUGACUCUUUGAUUCUAUCACGUGUAAAUUUAAAUCAACACGUGUAUUGAGUUUUAUUCUAUCACGUCUAUACUAAAAAGGAUAGCACAUCCUUCUCCUUUCAAAAAAGUUUAGGAAUGUGGGAAGUUAAGACGAUUUGAAAUGCACUAAAAAUUACAAAUUGGUAGUUUUGUGUAUUAAUAGAAUGAGUAGUGUUAACUCGUAUCUUCAAGGCACAUGUUAAGAAACCUAAAAGAAAAAAUAUUCUCUAAAUUUUAUGCAUUUAAUUAAUUAAAAAGUUAAAGAUUAAUUACAAUGCACACAAUAAUUAUUUAUAUAUUUGAAUCAUUAACUUGUAUUUUGAUGGCACAAGUUAAGCAUUACACUAAUGCGGUGGUUGAGACUCUAUAAAUUGAAAACGUAACUCCAUUAUCCUAUUCACACUUUGCAAAACAACAAAAAAAUCAAUAUGAAAAUGAGUAAACUUUGUUAUGUCUACGGACAAACUUUGUAAUAUAUGUUAGAGUAAAAUGAGGUGGAAAAGAUGAUUAUACCCUUUUGGCCUAAAAAAACUUCCAGCACCUACUUGCUACCGACCGUAACCUCCCACGUUAUGUUUUCCAUUUAUUUCCUUUUGAUUUCCCAUUCUUCAAUUCUAAUCACACCACCACCUUAAAAAAAAUGGUGUAAAUAUUAACCGAAUUUUCCAAAAAUGGAGGGGUGGUUUUCAACGUCAAGUUCAGCUAAUGACGAUCAGCAACAGAAAGCAGGAGGUUCGUCUUCAUCUUCUUUGCUUGCUGAUUGGAAUUCAUACGCUUCUUCUCAACAGGAUCAGGAUCCUUCUAAUUCCGCCAUCAGCUUCGAUCUUGAAUCUGCUGUUAGAUCUGCCAAUAACACCGUCACCGGCACUUUCAGCGUGUAACCUCUUCAACUCAAUUGCAUUCUAUAUUCUCUUGAAUUGGUAUUUUUUUUUUUUGUAUAUCACGAUAACAGUAUACAGUGUUGGGAGGAAUUAGUGUUUUAAGCGUGUUCCAAUUUGUCAAGUUAGUCCAUGUAUUUAACCGCUUACUAUCAAUAGGUUCUUUUAGUUUAAUCACUUACUAUCAAUUUGAUAUAUAUUUAACCACUUACUACUAUCAAUUUGGUCCCUGACGUUAGAAUCGAAUUUGGUCUCUGACUUUUAGAAGGACUGAUAUGAGUCAGAGUCAGGGAUGUUUUUGAAAUAUUCAUAAUAUCAAGGAUCUAUUUGAGACCGGGAUGUAGAAUCAGGGACCAAUUUGGUGGUUUACUCUUGUGAUCUGAUUCCAAAUUAAGCUCACGUUUCCAUUAUAUUUAGGUAUUUCAUUGAUAAGAUCACAAAAGCAAUAUGGACUAGCAAAAUGCUGUGGAAGUUUGGUUUUUAAGACAAUUGAAUGAAAUGAGAAUGGGAGAUUGUAAAUGAGUCAGGGGCUGUUUGGAUUGACUAAUUUGAACUUAUUUACUAGCAUAUGCAUUUGUGAGACAAUUUGGGAGAGCUUAUGGAAAUAGCUUACAACAUCUGACAUGUCCAUAAACUAUUUUCAGCUUAUUUCCUUGAGCUCUCUAGGAUAACUUGUGCAAACAACUUAUAGCUUAUAUGAAAACCAUUUGACUUUGUUUUAUCUUUUGUUAUAAAAAUAGCUGACACAUUAUUACUUAUGUGAUAAGCGCUUAAUUAACCAGUUUAUCGAACACGGCCUUAAUACUUCUAUGGACCCUAAUGUUAAGCUUUGGUUAGAUCAGGGAGAGUCAUUUCAGACAGGUAUAGGAAGGUGGUUGGGAAUGGGAGCUUUAACUAUAUUACGAUGAUUAGGCUUCACAUAUCUCUUGUUGUAAGUGUUGUUUACCAGUUUCUUAAUUCUCCUUGAGAUAGUCAUUCAUAGUUGUCAAACAAAGAAGCCCGUUAGCUGCUAUUUCUUUGUUAUGUUUCAUUUUUUAGUCGUGGCAAUCAUGACCACUAUUCGUGGCAGAAAUCAUACACUUCUCUUCUCUAUUGUGACUAUUAGGUCUCCAGAAACAUUUUUUUGCCCCUGUCAUAUGCUUGUUGCGGAUUGAUUUUGGGAGAAAGUUGGGAUUUUGUUCCUCUCUUUUUCAGAUAAAAGAAUUCAAUCCUUUAUUUCUCCCCACAUGUUGAUCAAACAACCUUAACAUUAAAACUUGAGAGCUUCCUUCUUGCCAAGCUCACUAUGGUCAAGUCUGGCAGUUUUGGGCCUCAUUUUGGUGACUGUUCUUUACAUGCUCUUUUUUCAUUUAUGAUAAUCUGCCCUGUUUUCCCUUUCGGCUCUUUUGAGUCUACAAGCUCGGUUAUUUGCAUUUAAGUUUUUUUUAAUUUCUGAUCUUUUUUUUGUUUUCUGGUUUUCCCAAAUUAGUCUCAAUUAUUUUUUGGGUGUUUGUAGUUCAAACUCAUUAUUAUUGGUCUUGCAUGCGCUAUUUUUGAGUUUAUCACUUUGCAGUAUUUAUUUCCUUGAUUAUUGUAAUGUUUAGCUUAAGGCCGAUGAUUUUGUAUUAUUAGUUAUGAUAUGCCUUGAAUCUUAGCGUGUGUAGUAUAAUUUACUUAACUUUUAUCUGAAAUUUUGGUAUAGCGGCCAUCCUGCUGCAGCGUGUUUGGCGCCAGCCUCUACUUGCUACUACCUGGGACUUAUAACUAUGUAGUCAGUGUAAUGUAGCAAUUCAAAGAGGCUAAAGGCUCUCCUGGAAAAGGAUUGAUCCUUGACAAUAGAGGCUAUACCGAUUUUUUUACCCACAUGGAUGCAGAUUGGGCUGACAUCUCAAGUCAUGUAUAGGCCAUUAACUUUAGGUUACUGUGUUUUUAUUGGAGGUAAUCAUAUUGGUUGGAAGAACAAGCAGAAUAUAUAUUGUUGAUAGAUUUAGUGUGCAGAAUACUUAAGUUUUUCUUAUGGCUAAAACAAUUUAUUUUUGAACUAAAAUUCUGUUAGUAAGGACUAUGAGUCUUAUCUGUGAUAAUCAAGCUUCCUUAUAGGCUUAUACAUUGCCUCUAAUCCAGUUUUUCAUUAGCAAACAAAGCAUAUUGAGAUAAACUGUCAGUUUAUCAAUUAAUCCCAAUGAUCAACUGGCAGAUAUGUUUACUAAGUUACUCUGGAGUUCAAGGACAACAUACAUAUGUCAUAUAUGCACUAGCAUGAAGAGAACUUUGGAGAUUCACCAUGCUUCCAUUUCUCAUGCUUAGUUUUCAGUUGUAUUUAACACACAACUAGUUAGUGAUAAGUUUCAAGGAAAAUUGAAACUAUUUGUUUGUUCCCUUGGAAAUGCUUUAACUUAUUUAUUCCUUCUGUAAAACGCAGAAUCCAAUUUUCUUACUGCAAGUGUUGUUAGCCAUUUAUUUAAAAUUAUUCUUGAGAUAGUCAUUCAUUGCUGUAAAUCAGUAGGGCAACAUAGCGGUGUGAUAAUAGAGGAGUGAAGCAAAGAAGCCUGUUAGCUGCGUUGUAUUUUUAAGUUGUGGCAAUCAUGACCACUAUUCAUGGCAGAAACCAUGCACUUCGCUGUUAAGACUUUUAGGUUUUCAGAAACCUUCUUUUGCCCCUGUCAUAUGCUUGUUUCUGACAUAUUUAGGGAGAAAGAUGGGAUUUUGUCCCUCCUUUAUUCAGCUAAAAGAAUGAAAUAAAUCCUUUAUUUUUCGGUACAUGUUCGAUCGAAGAGCCUUCAUGUUUAAACUUUAGACCUUCCUUCUUGCCAAGCCCACUACUCCCUGGUGUCAUUGUGGUCAAGUGUGUCAGUUCCAGGCGUCAUUUUGUCGACUUGUCUUCACAUUAUUGCAGUUGUUGCAUGUUCUAUUUUUUGGUUUAUUACUUGGCAGUAUUUGUUUCCUUGAUUAUUGUAAAUGUUUAGCUUAUGAACAAUGAUUUUUUAUUAUUAGUUAUGAUAUGCCUUGAAUUUUGAGCAUUAUGUGUAUAGUAUAAAUCACUCAACCUAUAUCUAUAAUUUCUGUAUAGAGUCCAUCCUGCUGUGGUUUUCGGCUCAGUCAUUGUAGUGUAGUAGUUCAAAUAUUGAGUUACACUAAAGGCUCUCCUAGAAGAGGAUUGAUCCAUGCAAUAAAAGUCAUACUGAUUUUGUUGCUUAAAUGGAUACUAAGUGGGCUGGAAGCUCUAGUGGUAUCCAGACGGUCAACUUUAGGUUAUUAAGAAGCAAAAUAUUGUUGAAAGAUCUAGUGGAUAGACAACAAUAUACCAAGUUAUGACUCUUAUCACACGUUUACCCAUUACCCAUAUGGCUAAACCAAUUUGUUUCUGAACUAAGAUAUUUUGAGUGAGGACUGAGGAGUAUGAGUCUUAUUUGGUAUAAUCAAGCUUCGUUAUACAUUGCCUCUGAUCCAGUUUUUUUUUGUAGCAAAUAAAGCAUAUAUUGAGAGGUUGUCAUUUUAUCCAAAAAAGGUUUUAUCUAGAAAGACGACGAUAUCAUUUAAUCCCAAUGAUCAAUUGGUGUAUAUGUUCACUUAGUCACUCUGGAUGGACUCCAAGUUUAGCAUACAUGUCACAAGCUUGAUGCAUAUGUCAUACAUGCAUUGGCAUGAAGAGAAUUGUUGAGAUUCACCAUUCUUCCAAUUUCCUAUGCUUAGUUUUCAGCUGUAUUUAACAGUCAGUUAUUGAUAAGUUUCAAGUAACACUGAAACCAUUUUUUCUCUUGGAAAUGCUUUAGCUUAUCUAUUAUUCCUGUAAAUUGUAGAAUGCAAUUUUCUUCAAGCAACACUGAAAUCGUUUGUUUUUCCUGAAAUUAUGAUUUCGAGUAAUUAAACGGUUUUCUUUUAAUAAUUGUUAGUGUUUCUAAAAGUGUGAGAGAUAUACCUGGAAACUUCCAGUCUGCGACUAGCAGUGUUCCCUCUGGGAAAGCACUCCUGUAUUUUGGUUUGUUUCUGGCGAGCGGAGUCUUCUUCAUUUUCAUUGCAUUUACCUUGUUCCUGCCUGUGAUGGUGGUUAUGCCCCAAAAGUUUGCUCUAUGCUUUACUCUUGGGUGUGGAUUUAUUAUUGGAUCAUUUUUUGCUCUAAAAGGGCCAAAGAAUCAACUUUCUCACAUGUUUUCAAAGGAGGUAAGUUACCAAAAUUUCAUGUCUUGUUGUUUUCAAGUUUAAAAAAUAGCUUCACAUUUCAUUACGUAUACAUGUUGCUUCAGUGUGUUCAUUUGAUUUUUUAGUAUAAUAGUCCCUAUGAUUUGAUUGCAUGUUUUUUAUGCCUUCUCCUGACUCUGACCUCCUUUAUGAAUAUUUUUCAGAGGCUCCCAUUCACACUGGGGUUUAUACUCAGUAUGUUUGGUACCAUUUACGUAUCAAUGGUGCGUCAUAGCUACAUUCUAUCUGUUGUAUUCUCCGUUGUACAGGUAUCACUUUCAUGGAUCCUUAAUAAGUUAGAAUGUUUCUGUGUUGCUUCGUCUUUCCCUUCCCUUCCUAUUAGCAUUUGCUGUGGAUUUGAAUUAUAGUGGCUGUAUAGUAAAAUCUUGAAUUUAAAUAUAAAUCAAUCCUUUUAUAUGGCAUAAACUUGAUAAAUUUGAGACUUCCUAUUUCCACACUUGUAGUGGCUGGAUUUAUAUGAUGAUAGGUGUUGGUUCCAUUUCCAUGACAGGCGUUACAUGAUUUCAGCAACUAUAGUGUGGAAAUAGAUCUUCCUUUAGAUACUUUUGCAUAUACUACUUAUUAUGUUUCUUUUGGCUUGAAAAAAAACUAUUUAUUCUGUUUCUAUCCAAAGCUAUCAAUCUUGUAUUGAAAAUGAUGUUUAGAUUAUACUUGCAGGUUCUCUCACUCGGAUACUAUGCUAUAUCAUAUUUUCCUGGUGGAUCUGCUGGAAUGAGAUUUCUGACUUCUGCUUUAAUGUCCAGAAUAAUGACUUGUUUUGGGAGGUGAUUUGGUUUUGGUUAUUAUUGUUAUACAUUUUAUGGGGGGAGGGGUAAACUUUGUCUAUAGAUAGGUGAAACUUUGAACUGACCCAGAACAGGAUAAUGCUGAGUUGAAACAUCAUCUAACAUGUCCUGAGAUUUCAAUGUUUGUUGCCACCUCUUAAUGAGAAAAUUGGUUGAUCUCUUUGCCAUAAGUUGUAAUCUUUAUUGCAUGCGUAUGGGUAUGAAUAUCACUGUUUCACAAUAUUUUGUACCAAAUAGAGUAUCAUUGGACAAGAGUGAAUUGUUCAAAUUCCACUAUGCGAUAGCGUAGUAGCACCCCAAAGUCACUAUUUAACAACAUUGAUUCUAAUUAAUGAGAUUAAUUUCGUACUUGUUCAUAAAAGUAUUUGGAAGGCUUAUUAAAAUAAUCCCAAAACAGUUUAUUGAAAUAUCAUGCAAUAUAAAAUACUUAUGUACCAGAUAAGUUCAAUAAGUUCUAAAUAAUCCUUGAUGAUAUUUUCGUAAAACCAUCCGGCCCUUUCUCCACCAUCUGAACUUUAAGCCGAGACACUUCCUUCAACAAACCACCUCUAACAUGAGCAGAUAUCAACGAAUCGUAAGUAAUAACAUUUGGAGAAAAGCCAUUACUUUCCAUAUCUUUAAGAACCUGCAAAGCCUCUUUGGGACGUCUAACCUUCGCAAAAACAUCUAACAACGCAUUAUAAGUAACUCUAUCAGGAACAAAACCCGCAGACUUAAUCCGGUCAAACACAUUUACAGCUUCCUCAUAUAACGAACCUUGACGACAACAAGUGAUAAGUGUAUUAUAAAUAUACAAAUCCGGAACAACUCCAUUUGUUUUCAUAGAAUAAAAAAUGGCAGUAACACGAGACCAAGGCAUACCCAUUUUGCCAUAAACAUUCAAAAUGGAAUUGUAAGUAACAAGAGUAGGGGUAUAACCAUCACGUUGCAUUUUGUUGAACACAGAAACAACAUCAUUAUAACGACCUUUACUAGCAUAAGAUUAAUGGAUUGUUAUCCCAAUAAAACAUUUAAUUUAAGGAUGACUCGGAAGUAAUCAACAUUUGUACUAGUGUACUGUACAAGAGUAGUUGCAGAAAGAUAGACAAUAAUAAACACUUCAUUUGUAAUUAUAUCAAACAAGGAACUUUAGAUAAGAUGGCUCCAAAAUUAACGAUAGAACCCAUCUGCAUCAUCCAUUAUCAUAUAAGCUGCACAGAAUUGCGUAUACAACAAAAUUCAGACAUAUUAUGCAGAUCAUACAAUUGAAAUGCAGAAUAGCAGAGUUUGUAGUUCAUGGCCAAACAGGUUAAUUAUCCAGUGUUUGUAGAACAAGUCCAAAUAAGGUUAAAAAUAAAGGGUGGUGGAUAUCACACACAAAAUGUUUUUGGAAAAGUUGUGCCACAAUAAAGGAAUAUUUAAAAAUCUGUAUACAAAUUUGAAACAAAACCUAUUUCUCUUAGGUUUUAUUGUAUGAUUACAAAUUCCUAUAAAAUUUUAAAAAUAAUAAUAAUAAUUCCCCACAGACCAAAAAUAGAUUUAGAUUAUUCUUAAGCCCCUUCAGAUUUCAGAGAUUUAUAGAUUGAUUCCUAAAAUUUCAAUUUAGGUGUAAAACCCAACAACUAUAGUAAGACUGUGAAAUGGAUAAUGUAAUUUUUCAUCGAAAAUAAUGCAUUAAAUCAUAAGGGUGGCGAACUUCUUAAUAAAGGAAUAUUUCACACCAUUUCCUUUUUUUAUAGAGUAUUAAAAUAUGUUAAGGGUGGCGAAAGUAACACAUUAAUUAGUAAAAAUGAACAUUGAGGAGAAAAGUAGGAAAAAUAAUUUUUUAUUAAAUAUUUGUGUUUUUUUAUCCUUGUGAUACUCAGUGCUUCACCAUAUAUAUAUAUAUAUAUAUAUUUGAACUGAUGAGUGGGCCUUGGCAGUGAAACUUUGCAUUUUAUGGCACAUAGAAUUAACCAAGAACAGAAGUUAUAAAGAAAUCGUCACAUUGUGAAGGGGCGAGCAUGAACUUAGAGGGUAUAGUGCCGUCAACAUCUUUUACUUACAACCUAGUUCCGUCCCUGGUGAUUAGAUUUACCGAAGCUAUGUGAUUUAUAUGGAAAACAUACGAUAUGCACUGCCUACUCAAAAGAACGUUAAUAAUAAUAUUGUAUUAUAAACCACGACGUAAGUUUAUCAAUAUAUUAAGUAAGAAGCAAUCUGCUGGGAAGAAAAAAAAAAAAUGUUACCUCUAUGGAUUUUGCAUUCUUAAUUGUGUGAAAUAUGGCCUCCUUUGACUUUUUCAACACUCCUAUAAUGUGGAGUUCAAAGAAAACAUUAUAAUACAACCCAGGUAAAAGAAAGUUUACCAUCACUAAUCAUCCAAAGCUUUCAUACCAUUCAUGUCAUAGAGGCAUACAUUUUUUAUACCAAGUGAGUCCAGCUACUGCAGAAGUUGAACAACUUUUGAAGUCUGAUGAGCAUCUUCACUCUCUAUGACAAUGGCAAGGUACUGAAGCUUUGCAUAGGAAGAGACUUGUAUCUCUUAAAUACUCCAUAAGAGAUGAAAUAGCCUUCAAACAAAUUAGCCAUGACUAAUACAUGGAUACUCCCAGUUGUUAACCACGUUAAAAAAUGUGGUUAAUUCUGUAGAAUAAAUGAUUAAAUCAAUUUACGACUAAAAUUAUGGUCAAUUCAGUUUAUCCAAUUUAGUGAAAACUCAUUUCAGUACAAUCAAAUCCAAGUAUCACAUUGUGGAAUCAAACAAAGUAGAAACCAAAACGAAAAAUCAUUCAGAAAUACUGUUAUGUAUGAAAUACACAUGAAUGUCUUGCCUCUAAAAAAAUGUUGGGCUAGAAACUAAAUAAACUGCUCACUAUUUGAGUACAACUCUUCUGGACCUUUUCUGUGUUUAAUCAGGAUUCGAUAGAUCAUAUCUAACCUUACAAUUCAUACCAAAAGAUUCAAAUUAUAUGAAUGGUAAGAUGUGACAUUAGAUUCUACAAUAAAAUUUGAGGAUGACUCUUUCCAUCUAUGCAAUAUGCCCAGCUAAGGUAAGGAUCUUGACAUGCUUCUUCUGCCUCAACUCAUGAGGAACUGGUCCGAAAACUCUGGUCCCAAUAGGCUGCCCUUGUUUGUCAACAAGCACGACAGCAUUGUCGUCAAACUUGACCUCACUGCCAUCACACCUCCCCUUUGGCAUUGCUGCGCGAACAACUACGGCAAAUACAACUGCUCCCUUCUUCACUUUUCCAUUAGGAUGUGCUUCCUUCACUGAUGCUUGUAUCAUAUCACCUAAUCUUGCUCCUUUCUUCCCUGCCAACGCGCGUAUGCACAUCACCUUUUUAGCCCCAGAAUUGUCCACAACCUUCAGAACAGUCCUCAUCUGUAUGAAGGUUCGUUGUUGCUGCAAAAAGGAAGACAUUGUUUUCUUCAGGAAGGAAUCAUAACAGUGUGUGUAAGAACUAAGCAUGGAUUUGUGACUCAUUUUAAGAAGACAUGUAUCUUUGCAUUGCAUGGAAAAAUUACUGUUGUUUUCUACAAUCUAGGUUUAAGAUUACCAAUACUGUGUUUGGCAAGCAUAAGAAAAUAAUGUUAAGGAAAUUAUAAUAAUUGAAACAUGAUCCUGCAACUGAUUCCUACAUGUACCUGAGAAAAAUAACUGUUGCAUGUCAUCUCAUGUGACGUGGUAAAUAGACCAGGGGAACUGUUGCUUAAUCCACCGAACAGAGAACGGCCCACUAGUUUGGUUUUUCAACACAUGAAACAAAAAACUAACAAGUUAAUAAAAAUAUUUAUUAAGUGGAUAAAGCAUCACCUUAUCAACAUAAAAAUUCUUGAGCUCGCGUUUGACUUGUAAAUAGGGGGAGGGAAGGAUUAGUGGCACAAGUGCAAACUGCCAAGAUAGAGUUAUGCAGCUUAAUAUAUGAAAUUUCAGAGUGGUUGCAAAAUGUAGUGGUUUCAAUUUAUUGCAAAAGCAACAGUUUGCAAAUGGUCCAUGUUUUAGGGAGCAAAAUGACCAUAUAAUAAUGAAACUACAACAUGGUUGUAGUAAACUAACAAAUUGGACAUCACCACCAAAAGGAUAGAAUCAAUGAUUUGCAAGACAUAGAAAACAGUUAUUCUCUUACAAUUAAUAUUUGACUUUGGGGAAGCUCGCAUUUUAACUUCUGAUGAAAAGGCAUUUUUUUUAAUGGUCUUGGAAAGCUGGAUUGAUUCAUAUCUAUUAUCUAUUUCCGGAAGAAGCCAAGCUACAAACCAGCUCCAUAUAAAGACAGUGCUGUAGAGAGUUGAGGCAUCUCCAAAAUAUAAGCAAAAGGUGCUGAAUCGCGUAAAUUAUGCGUCUUUUGUUAUUUUCUUUGCACUAUGUUUGUGUGUGUUCCAAUUAUUGAUCCUUUGUUAGUGUGAUUUUUCUCAACACACACAAACCCAAGAACACAGAAAUAUUGUAUAAUUGUAUAAAGUUCUGAACAAAAUAUAGAAGCUUGUGAGUAUCAUCAUUCUUGGAAUUUUCCCAAAAUUUGUUACUUCUUGGAAAGGGUAUGUGAGUGUGCACUUAUGAAAAAGCAACAUUUUGUGGGGUUAUUGGACUUGUUCUAGAUAAUAGGUAUCUUGAUAUUGUAUCUGAUUGCUAGUGAAAGUUUAUAAAAGUGGAAUAUAGGCCUUGACACUUGACUUUCAUGGUCCCUAAGUUUUCUCCGUAAGCUCAAAUCACACAAUGUAUACAAUUAUCCAAGAGAUAUACUUCAAAGAGAACAGGGCUGGCAGACAUGGAGUACAUUGUAAGAAAAAGAAACGGGAAUGUAGAAUACAAUUGCACAUAAUGCAUAACAAUAUCAAGGUAGCUCAGUUCAGUCUCCUCGACAAAGCUAAUGGUAGUAAAAUGAAGGAGCAACCCGGCUGCUAACCUAGAAGAAAUUUAACUUAUGGACGGCAACAUCUGGUCGUGUUCCCGCCCCAAUUUCAGUGAAAACAAAACUUAAAAGAAUACUUGGAGAUGCCAGAAAUAGGCACUUUUGCAUAGGUAGUAACUAAGAAAAUUCAAUGCUAAACAGUCACCUAAAAGGAGAUAAACUGCAUUAUCUAUGAUACAUGGGUACUUCUAUAAGGUUACAGCCUACAGCACCUUUACAAGUUCCCAUUGUGUACACAUGGGGAUGCAGUAGACGUACUACGGUAAUUUUUCUAAAAUUUUUGCUACAGAAUACAUUGCAAUGCAGUGUAGUUUCCAAAGCAAUGAAUCAAUAUUGCUCAAGUACAAGCCAGUGAAUGCAAAUCUAAAUAUUUUGGUACUAUAAGAAACAUACUAGUUAUUUAUUUUGAACAUGAAAGGCAAACAUCAGAUUCUUAAAGAAAAACAAGACUGAAUUCAAUGGCCUACAGUCAGAUCCUGUGUCCUACGCCUCUUAUGCCUCCUAGCAUAUAGUCUAAUAAUAUUGGACCUUGGGCGAUCACCAAAUUCACUAGUAAUAAUGUGAUACUGGCAUCAAGUGCAACCCAAAUUGUGGUUGUAUCGUAGUUUCAACUUUUCAGAAUCCCUGUAAGAUUUGGAACUCAAGACACAGAGAUCACCAGAAAUAUCAAUACUGAAAUAAAAUUUCUCCAAUUUUCAACAUGCAAAAGAAAACUCUACAAAUAACUUCCAGACAAUAAGUGAAAACUCACAGCACAUUAAAAAAAUCUUACUGAUACGUUAAAUCAGUGCAGUCAGACAUCAAUCUAAUAAAUAUGUGGUGAAAGUCAUAUCAAGAGCUUGAAAGUGGUAAAUUUAGCUAGUCUCUUAGGAAAAACAUAAUUGUAACAAAAUGGGCUUUAAAGUUCCAUUGAACUACAAAAACUAAUGUAACAUCAGAUUUUGAUCAAAUAAAUCUCUUUUCUUUUUUUAUUGAUAAAUAAUUUCAGUUGUAAAAAUGGAACACAAGAAGCAAACAUAAAACAACAUACCACGAGAACAUCUGGAAGCAAAGGUUGCAGCCAUCUUCAAAAGUUGCAAUCUUUUAUAUUCCCUAAAAAAAAUGAAGAGCCAAAGGACAUGAGAUUUUAAUAGGCACAAAUGAAGAAUACCAAAAAGGGAAAUGCUUCUUCAAAAUGCAAAUAGUUUGAGAGAAUUUCCAAAAUAUAUGUUUGCAAAAUUAAUAUAUUUAUAACAGUGGAAAGUAAUAAUGUGAUACUGGCAUCAAGUGCAACCCAAAUUGUGGUUGCAUUGUAGUUUCAACUUUUCAGAAUCCCUAUAAGAUUUGGAACUCAAGCCACAGAGAUCACCAGAAAUAUCAAUACUGAAAUAAAAUUUCUCCAAUUUUCAACAUGCAAAAGAAAACUCUACAAAUAACUUCCCGACAAUAAGUGAAAACUCACAGCACAUUAAAAAAAAUCUUACUGAUACGUUAAAUCAGUGCAGUCAGACAUCAAUCUAAUAAAUAUGUGGUGAAAGUCAUAUCAAGAGCUUGAAAGUGGUAAAUUUAGCUAGUCUCUUAGGAAAAACACAAUUGUAACAAAAUGGGCUUUAAAGUUCUAUUGAACUACAAAAACUAAUGUAACAUCAGAUUUUGAUCAAAUAUGAGACAUAACUGUAUGGUGGUUGUGUCCACACAUAGUGGCUGAUCUUGUCCAAAAUAUUGGGAGGAGCGGAAAGUACAAACUAAAAUAUUGUUAAAGUCAUAUAAAUAUAAGCUUUCCUCUUAAAAAAAUGCAUCAAUUUUGUUAUGUUUAACCAUUGUAUCACUCGUAAAAAACACACAAAUCAAAUACUAAUAACAUAAAGCAGCAAGAAAUUCAACAAAAAAAGAAACUCAUUUGCAUAUUGCCUUCCAAAUUGACACCUAUUCAACACCAUUGACACUCUUGCCAACAUAUCCAAUACAAAGUCUUACUAAAUUGCUAAUUGAAAUAAUAAAAUUUUGAGACAAUGACAUAAUUCAAUGUAAUCACACAUGUCAAUGUUGCGUCGGCAUCAGACACAGGACACACCUUCUAUCGAUCAUGAGUGUCGGUGCUACAAAGCCAGAAACCCACAUAAAAAAACAAAUUACAAACAUAACAGAGACAAGCUAUGGUUUCAUUAAAUUUGAAAUUCAUUGAUUUGAAGAUUUGUGAAGUAUAUGAAAAUUAUUAGGGUUUAUGUAAAACAGUGGGAAAACUCGCUAAAAAUUGUUGUAGAACCUUAAAAUUUAUUUUUUUAUAACCUACGAUAUAAACAAGAAAGAGAUGGAAGGUGAGUUAUUGCGUUGUUGAGAAAUGGAAGAAGAGGAAUUGAAAAUGAAUAAAAGAUUGGUGAAGUUUGAAGAAUGAGAAGAGAAGAGAAGACAAACAAACCUGAGAAACUGAAGAAUGAGAAGAGAAGACGGAGUCGGAGAGAGAGAGCCGCCGCCGGAGUCAGGCUGUCAGAGGGAGAGAAUUUCGGGCGAAGCAGAAGCAGGUGAGGUUGGAGAUACACCUGCAAAAUAGUGCCUAAUGUAUUACGGUACGAGACUUCCUCAACUAAUUGAUUGAUUUUGUUGUGUUUGAUAUAGUUAAUGGUUAGACUAGUUUUUUUUUCUUUCCUACUCACCUACACGUGCAAUUAUGAAAACUAAUCUUUAAGUCAGACUAUAAUGAAUGUCAAUCUCAAAAGAUUUAGCACCAGCACGUUUAUGAUUUAGUUUGAACUCAAGACAUAUGGUUGAACUAUAAAAAAAUUAUUAGUUCACUACCAAAUAAAAAAUAUCUAUUACUUCUAGAAAGGACAUGUGGCCCAAGGCGCUGCUUCAGCUUACUUCUAGAAACCUCUAGAACACGCCUAAAAUAUUUAAAUACCACUAUUAUUUGCCGUCUAAGUAAGCACAAAUCAGAUUUAUAGAGGGCUAUAUAUACAAACUUUGAGAGUCUUCUCAAGGCAUGACCAAUACGAUACAAACUCUAAUACGAUUAUUGUACUUUUUGCAAGUACACCUAGGAACCUGAGCAAUGUGAGACAAAUAACAAUCUACAAGCAACUUCAAAAUCGACUUCAACAUCCACCCUCACGUCUAGCGUGGGCUCGUGUCCAAUUUCCACAUUGUAAUCUUAAGUAAUCUGGCUCUAAUAUCACGUUAAAUAAGUCUGGAUUUAACCCAUUUAUUGUUGGCCUAGUGGUUGACUUGGGAUCUUGGAGUUUGCUUCCCCAGAGGUCUCAGGUUCGAUUUCCUCUGAUGCCAAUUUCGGUGGGCUAAGUCUAUACAGAGUUUGCUUUGGCUUUAAAUGGACCCCGCAAGUGGGCGGUGGGGUUGGUCCUCUCGGAUUAGUCGAUUCUUGGAUCAGAUAUCAAUUUUUUUUUUUUUUAAAAAAAAAAAGGAUCCCGUCCUAAAAGUUAAUUCAAAUGAUAAGGGUACUCAAACAUAUUUAUACACUCAACAACCUAGGAACCUGAGGGACAAAUAACAAACUACUAACAACCUCAAAAGUGACCUCAACAUUAUCCAUAUAUACCAAACCCAAAUACACCAUUUUAUAACCAACCUCUUAUGAAUUACACUUAUCAACAAAUUCUUCAAAUGACUACCAACAAAUAGAACCACCAAUAAGUUAUGGAGUGAUUGAUUAUGUGAUUGGAGGAAGUGGAAAAUAACAAUGAUGAAAGUGAUAACAAUAUCAUCUUGCUUGUUGAUCUUUAUUAAAUGCAGUCUAUCUUUACAUGUUAUAACAAUGGAGAAAAGUGAAAACGAUUAAUUUUUAAGUUCUUAUGCAUUAUAUAUGAUUAUAUAAAUAAUUUUAACAAAAUAUGCGUAAAGUUGCGACCAUUAUUUAUAUAUCGCAACGUCCAUUGCCGUCUUCUCUCCUCUUCUCACAUUUGUCACUCACUCUACCAAUUGAUUGAUGAUUCUCUAAUUUCUCAUUUCUCAUUCCUUCUCCAAAUUGUUUGUUUUAGGGUUUUAGAAUUGAGAAGCAAUGGAGAAAGUAGACACUGAAAUCAUCCCUAUGCCUUUCCCUCCUUACCGUCGAUCUCACUUCCGCAGCCAUACUUACACCACCCUUCUCCGUAUUCUUUCCCACCUUUCUUCUUCCACCGUUCCUGGUACAUUAUUCUUAUUCUUAUUCUUAUUGUUGUUGCUUCUACUUUUACCUUUUGUUUUACUACUGCCAAAAUCAUUGAUUUUACUUUAGUUGAAUGUAGAGUGAUUUACAUAAAAGUGAAUUGAACAAUAAAUUUCAGUGUAAAAACCACAUUUAGACUCAAAAGCUACAAAACCUAGCUUCAGGUUAGAAUCAACUCUGGAGGCUAAAUUAAUGGUUCUCGAGGUCAACUAGGCAUGUUAAAAUCAAUCAAUUUUACACCUCAAGAGUCGAUUUUGGUUGUUCCAAACAUAGGCUAAAGCGCAGCAGAAUUUGAACAAACUAUUUAGUACAAAAUGUGUUCAAAGCGGCGGCUAUAGUGGCGUUAUAACAAUAUUGCAUAGCGGAAUUAUAUCAAUCCGCUAUCCGUGAUUGAGUGAUCGAGUCAGCACAGUUAGUUAUAGGAACAUGGUUUUGUUUCGCUCUGUAGUACCAGUAUUCUGCUUGCACAGUUAGUUACAAGGUUAAGACAUUUUUUGGCUAGCUGUGCUAUAUUACUCUAUUAAGGGCUGUGGUUGCAGUGUCAAGAGACAUAAAAAAUCCUUCAUGUCUCACAGCUAGGGUUGCGGUAGCGAUUGCCCCUUUUCGUUUUUGAUAUUAUUGAUUUGAAUGAUUGUUCAGUUCAGUUUCUUUUGUUAAUUGAAAACACAAGGGUGUUCCUUUUCUUCAAUAUAUUUAAAGUGCACUUUUCCCCCUUAACUUUAAAAAGUUGCGAUUUUGGCCCCCUAUGUACAAAAUCUACAAUUUUGGUCCCCUAAGAUUUAGCCCCUUUGCAUCUUUGGUCCUUUUGGUCAAUUUUGACCAAGUCAACGCUGAUUUGGCAUGCCACGUGUGUAAUUAGCCAUUUUUUAAAAAUAAAAAUGUAACAUGUUAAAUUGUUGAAUUAAAAAAAUUUUAAAAAAAGGAAGAAGGAGAGGCACGUUCAUCUUCCAAAAAAUUAAAACUUCAUAUCCAAUAUGCAAUUACUUAUUUUGCUUACAAUGUUUGUAUUGUUCAAUGGUGACAUGCCACUGUCAAGUCGCAACGCAACUAUGCACAACUGUAUAUCCAAUAUCCAAUUACUUAUGGAUCGAAGUAACCAAGAGAAAACGAUGAUGGCUCACAACCAUGUUUCAUCGCCUUCUGUUUCGUAGGUAUGAACAGCCAGAGUUAUUGAAGCUUAAACUGUCUGAUUCAAUGUUGCUCUGAUACCCUUCACGUUAUAUUUUGUCCCUAGGUGUAAUAAGACCUGCAAUGUUGGAAAGUAACUGAAUUAGAUAAAACCAUAUAUAUCCACUUUAUAGAAGUUUUUUAAGUUGUGGUGAUUUAGAAAGGGGUAAAAACAUUUGAGGUGAUUUUUCAUUUGAGGUGAUCUGCAAUGUAAAAUGAAAUAAUUUAGAAAGGGGGAAAAACAUUUGAGGUGAUUUUCUGAAUCUUUUUAUGAAGGUUGUUAUUGUUGUUGACGAGAUUGUUGUUGUUGUUGUUGAAAAGAUUCAUGGUGUAUUUGAUGGAGUUUCUGGGUUUUGGUUGAGAAGAAGAUGAAGUUGUUAAGAAAAUGAUGAGAAGAUGAAGUUUUAAUUUUUUGGAAGAUGAAGAUUUUCUGGAUUUUCACGUGCCUCUCCUUCUUCCUUUCCUUUUUCAUUUUUUUAAUUCAACAAUUUAACAUAUUACAUUUUUAUUUUUAAAAAAUGGUUAAUUACACAUGUGGCAUGCCAAAUCAGCGUUGACUUGGUCAAAAUUGACCAAAAGGACCAAAGAUGCAAAUGGGCUAAAUCUUAGGGGACUAAAAAUGUAGUUUUUGUACAUAGAGGGCCAAAUUCACAACUUUUUAAAAGUUAGGGGGGGGAAAGUGCACUUUAGCCUAUAUUUUUUUUAGAUAUAAAAAAACUUCCUGUCACAACAAAAAUAUAAAUAAUUUGAUGUCACAGAUAAGGUUAAGGUUGCGGUUGCAGACAUUUUUAACUUGCCUGUUUUUUUUUUUACAUAUUUGUUGAUUGAAAAACAGAAGGGUGUUCUUUUUCUUCAUUUUUUUAAAAACUUUUUUGUGAAGUUUCCUGUUGGAUUUUGAAUUAAAGCUUAUUUGUUUGGUUGUUGUUAUGGAUCAAAUUGAUGAUAGGUCAUAUUUCAAUGCUGCACUUUUCAUAUUUUUUUGCUACACUCUUUGUUAAAAAAUUUAAUAAUUUUUCUUCCUCUUUCAAGAUAAUGGCAAUGUUGGAAUGGGGCAAGAAAACCAGGAAAAGGAGCCUGAGAACUCCGAGUUAAAAGUUGGUGCUGAUGUCAAGGAUCCCAAGGGUCCAAUACCCUUGAAGGAAAUACAUGAUGUUCAUGAGACCAUUGAAAGUGUUGGAGACAAGGGUAAGGAUUUGAGUGCCAAUGCUAUGGUCCUAGAUGAUGCAGCAGCAUUUCUUAUGGGAGGAGAUGAACAAUCUACACAAACAGAUGGUUUUCAUUUGGAACAAACGAUAAUGGACGAGUUGGAGCUUGUUGUAAAAGGGGAUGAAGAUCCUGUUUGUGAUGAUAGUUUAAUCCCCUUGAACUGCGAGAAACAGAAUAGCGGUAGUGAAGUUGAUUUGAUGGAUUACCGAGUAGAACAUGUUGAACAUCUGCGUUCUGGUACAAAUACGUCUGAAAGUGUAAGUGAGGUGCAGUCGCAAGUACAAGGGGAGCUUAAUCAACUUGACGUGGAAGGCUUUAAUGUGUCCGAGUCAACAAAGGGACAAGCUUCCGAUUCCGUAAUUAGUAGUACAUCAAGCAUACAGAUUGAAAGACAACAGAAGGAAACAGAAUUGGUAACGCUGGUUUGUCCUCUAGCGGGAUCUAUUCCUACUAUUCAAGAGGGUGAAUUUGAGAAGGAAGAACAGUAUGGUCAUAAGGUUGAUGAAGCAACUCAUAGUUCUUUAGAUCUUGAUACAAAUACUGAAGCAUUGAAUAUGACAGAAGAUGGUGGAUUGCUAGACUCUACAAUUUUGAAAGAUAAAUGUGAAACACAAAAUGAAGAGAAAUCAGAGAAGUUAAUUUGUGUGAAAAAUACAACAAAUUCUUCCGAUAUUCUGAUCGACGAAGGAGAUCUAGAAGAGGGAGAAAUUUCUGGAGAAAUUUCAAUGGAUGGAAACACAUUUGACGUGUCUUCUGCAGAUGCUAUAGUUUCAGAACAGAUGAAAUUGGAUGAGAUUGAGAAACCCGGGAGUUCAUUUGAAAACAUGACUUCUCCUUUCAAUACGGGUAUCUCCUUUCAAGGCUUUCCAUCUAAUCUCUUUACGGUAAAUGCAAUUCAAGAUACACCAACAUUAACCAAAAAUCAAGUCUUGCGCAAAGGAUUCAUGGAAGAAACCUCUCACGGGAACUCGUCUGUAGUACAGGUAUGGAUUUCACCGAGUAUUUUAGCACAAUAUUCAAUGAUAACCUACCUUUAUUUUAGUUACCUUUACAUUGUGUUCUGUACUCACCACCAAUGAUGAAUGGAAGAUAUUCGACGAUGAUCCUUCCUUUUGUAAUUUUUAAUAUAUCGCCCUAUUUGAGUUUGUUUGGGAAAAUUUAUUUAAGGUCAGAAUAAUGUUCUGAAGUACUUUAUCAUCAACCAUAUCCUUCGGUAUCCUAUUUAGAGUUCCAUAAUAUAGACAACUAUUCAACAAUGUUAAAACUUGGUGAUGUUUACUUUUCUUUGAUUAAUUAUUGUUCAUAUGCAGCAGAUUGUUGAUGCCAGCAGAAAUGAACAAAGUGGUCCUGAUCCUAAGAAGAAGAAAAACAAAAAGGUGUUCUUCUGAUAUUGUUGGCUUGUUAUAUUUUCUUUCUUAAUGUUGUAUUGAAUUUCUAAACUUGUGAUAUGGGUUUUGAGGCUAGCUGGUUUUUCCUCCUCUGAAGUCACCCCAACAUCAGUUGGUACAUUAUCUACUAUUUAUGAAGAAGAGAAUUGCUAGCAAAACACUCUCUAACACUCUUUUCAACACACGUUCUUCCAUUUAUCAAAAUUAAUAUAUGUUCUACUGUGUUUAUGUAGGACCCACAUCAUUUAACUGGCAACUGUAUUAACUGGCAACUGCCAAUCAACUCCGAGUGUAACUGUCUAACUGUAUUAACUGGCAACUGCCAAUCAUCUAGGAGUUGCUGACUGACGCUUGUCAGUCAGCUAGAGGCAGUUAGUUUAUGUCUAUAAAUAGACUUUUCAACCUAAUGUAAUUAAGACUAAGAAAUCAAUCUAACAGAAUUCACAAAAACAUAUUUUAUUCACAAAAACAGUUUAAUAAUUUUAAUGCAAGUGAUGCUUAUAUUUUUGGCGAACUAUUGAUCAUUUGCAGCAGAUGGUUGAUGCCAGUGGGAGCAAACGUGGUCCUGGUUCUCAGGAGAAGAAAACUAGAAAGAGGGUAUUAUUCUGAUUUUAUUAAUAUAUCUUCCUUUAUGUUGUAUUAAUGCCUUUAACUUGUAAAUAUAUUUUGAAGCCAAUUAAUUUCACAUCCUUUGAGGUCAUUUCAACAUUGGUUUAUUAAUUAUCUGCUAGUUACGAGAAUAAUCCUUAGUUCUAUGUUUUUGUAUUACUGAUGAUUUCUUUAUUUGAUAAAAUUUGCUCUGCAGAAGAAGUAUCGAAAGAACAAAGCAGAAAAGAACAGAGAGCCAGGUGGUAAAAGGCCAAAGUUUAUUCCAGAACAAAAACCAAAACCUAAACAAUGUCGCCAUUAUAUGAAAGGAAGAUGCCAUGAGGUUAUAUUAAACUCAGUUAUAUUAAACCUCGACUUAUUCUUCACUUUAUAUCAUGACACCUUUAUGCUUGUUUUAAAUUUCUUUUAUUAUUCUUCAUUAUACUGUUACAUUAGACGGGAUAGGAUUAGAAAUGACGACGUUACAGAGAGAAUUGGGGUAGCACUUAGUAGAAAAGAUGGUGGAAACUAGACUUAGGUGGUUUGGGCAUGUAGAGAGAAGACAUGUAGAUUCUGUAGUAAGGAGAGUAGAUCACAUGGAGAGUAGUCAAAUCACUAGGGGGAGAGAAAGACCUAGAAAAACUAUUAGACAAACUAUUUAGAAAGAUCUAGAUAUUAAUGAGUUGGACCUAGAGUAGAUCACAUGGAGAGUAGUCAAAUCACUAGGGGGAGAGAAAGACCUAGAAAAACUAUUAGACAAACUAUUUAGAAAGAUCUAGAUAUUAAUGAGUUGGAUAGAAAUAUGGUAUUAAGAGCAUUAUGGCGUCGUUUGAUCCAUGUUUAGUGGGAUAAGGCUUGGUUCUUGUUGUAUUGUACCAUUACACAAUACAUACGAGAAUUUGUUAUUCUAGUAUUGAUGCUUCAUUUAACUUUUUGAUUCUUAAGAAGGUAAAAAUUAUAUAUUUGUUAAUUGGAACAUAGAACUUGCAUGAAUAUUCAUUUAUAUAUGGGAUUAAUGAGCCAUGUCUUUAAAUAACAAGAUAAAUUUCAUGUUGAUAUUUUACUUGUCAUGUUAGAAGAUUUCCGUAUUCAUGACUUGAAUUACAAUCUUGUAAACGUUCUUCUUUUUCAGUUAUAUAAUUUGACAUUUGAAUUUAUCUGAACCCUGGAGAGUUUAUUGUGGUUUUGUGGAAACUGAAAGUUACCUCCAGGGCCGAACCAACGCAUAUAAGGCCUUUUUAUCAAGUAAAUUUUUAAAAAAAAAAUUAAGGUUGUGAUUCCGUUGCUUGCCUUACCCUUGGGCCGACCCUGGUUAUAUAUAUAUACAUAUAUAUAUAUAUAUAUAUAUGUGUGUGUGUGUGUGUGUGUGUGUGUGUGAUCUCUAUAUUGAAAACUAUCAAUUCUUACUUUCUCUUGCUUUGAUCAAAACAAAUUUGACAGGGGGACCAGUGCAAUUUCUCACAUGAUGCUAUUCCUUUAACAAAGUCCGUGGUAUUGGUCUUUUUAAAAUAUCACUCCCUAUUAUUCUUUUCAUGUUUAAAUAUGUAUAUGGUCCCUGCAAAUAUAUGCCACCUUUUGGUUUUAGUCCCGGUAAAUUUUUGUUUUUUAUCCUUGUAAAUAUACCACUUUUCUCUUUUUUGUUUUAAUCUCUGUAAAAUUUGUUCUUGUUGGAAUUAGUCCCUGUAAUAUGUGUCUAAUAUUUGUUUAAGUCCUUCUGUUGUCUGUAUUAGAGGGCCUAAAAUCAAAUACUUUGCAUAUUAUGGGACUAAUUCCAACAUGAACAAAUUUUUAAGAAACUAAAACAGAACAUCAAAAAUCAAAAUAUAAAAGGCUGUUCAUCGCUGUAUCUUCGUAAGGAUGAAAAAACAAAACUUUUACAGGGACCAAAAACAUUUAAGCUUUCUUUUCAUCAAGUUGUAACAAAACCAAGAGAAAUUUACAGAACCUUGUUGAUUUUGAAAUUGCAGCCAUGUGCUCACUAUGCCUGUGGCUCUUGUAUGAAAGGGAAUGAUUGCCCAUAUGAUCAUCAGCUUUCCAAGUAUCCUUGUUCCAAUUUUGUGUCUAAAGGCUCCUGUUAUAGAGGUCGUUGUAUGUUUUCACACCAGGUACGACAUCCUAUUCAACUUUACUUGUUGUAAAUGACUUAAUGUCAACGAACGUAAUAAAUAAUCAAUGUUGUCAUAUAGCGGCUACACUGACGCUAUAGCAUAGUAAAAUUUGAAAAACCAAUAUUGUUCCGUGAUACUAUUUGUACAAAUUGUUGUUAAAUAGUAGCAUAGUGGAAUUUGAACAAACUUCUUUUUCUGCGAUCCACAAUUUACAACACUGUAAAUAACGGAUUUGCAUUGUAUAUUUAUUCUCUCUUGGAUUAAAACGAGCUCUUUCUCAUUUAGGUGCAAACCAGCCAAGAUAUACCUACGCCUACAAAUGCUUGCAAACCAGAGUUGAAGUCUCCUCUUUCGUCAGGAAAUACAAAUUUCAGUACACCACUGAAUAAUCAUGGCACUGGUUCUGUCCAACAAACCAACUCCAAUUCUAAGGGAAUUUAUUCUCACACCAAUGUAGAACAUAAGGUGACAGACGUUUCACAGACAAAGCCUACCUCAGCACCCAAAGGAAUUAGAUUUAUAAAUGUUGCUAACUUAUCACCUACUACACCAAAACAAGACACGGUACAACCAAACAAGGGAAAUCUUGUCCACGGUGGAACAUGUGCAGAUAAAGGUCAAAAUACUGUGGAAAUUUCUAAAAAAAUUCCAGCUGUCAUGCCCAAGGGAGUCAACUUUCUUUCUUUCGGCAAAGGUUCUGUUUGCAGUUUUAAACUUUCUAUUCAAUCCACUGCACAAGAAAUGAUAUUGAAGUUGCCUCAGUCAGUCAAUUUUGGUUUGUCUGAACAUUCAGUUUCACUGCUGAAUAAGGAUGAUCAUGGAAAAGCUAUUGACAUAACUGCACAAAAUUUACCACAAACUGCGCUAUUCUCACAUGAGAUUUCAGACAAAAACCAAUCCAUGGCAGAACGAAUGAAAUCAAGGUUUCUGGAGAAAGAUUCAACCGAUGAUUCUGUGAGGGAUCACAGCCAUUGUAAAUCAGCUCAAGAGGUAAAUAAGGCAUCUGAUAAUUCUCAGGCUUCAACUGUGACCUCAGCUACGCUUCUUGCUAGUCCCUUUGUUUCACUUCAAUCUUCAGAAGGCCUGGUAUCUGGAUGUCCUAAACAAGCAUCAAACAUAGGCCAAAGGGCACUCAUUUCGACUUUAGCUUUUGCGGCGGAGCAUGAAUCAAAUAUUAAGAUGAAAUGCCCUACUGGUGCUUCACCUGUAUGAUCAGAGGAAAAUAAGUAAAACAAUUGCAGCUUGGAGUUCAAAAAGAAUAGCAUUGCUAAAAUUGUUUUCAAUCCAUGAAGCUCUUGGUGAUUUGAAUCAAGGCACUUCCUAGCUUAUUGGAUGAUAACCAGGUAGGGGGUUGUUUAGUUUAUUAUGUUUCCAUUUCUCUCGUGGUAUGAUUGCAGGAAAAGUAGCACUUACUAUCAAUAACAGUUAUUUCUCAUUUUAUAUUUGAAAUUAAAUGGGUUUAGACCAAAUGAACAAUUGGAAUUUGAUUGCAUUCAACAUGAUUAUACGUAAAUCCUUAGUUCAAUUGUUAUUUUAGAGCAUAUUUAUUUUAAUAUAGCAGUUUCAAUUUCAAUAGUCCUUGUGUGCUCUUUAGAACUCGACAAUGUAAAUUGGCUUAUCUUGUUACAACUCAACUUUAUUGCGUACAUUGUAGGUAAUGCACUCAUGCUGUUCUUUAUCACAACAGAUUUGCAAAGGUGGAUUUCUCCAUCUACCUGUCAGUCACUCACACAAGCAACAUUCUUUGCUUCUGGAAAUGACUUGAAUUUUGAAGUGGUUAAUGGGUUUUAAAAUUUUGGUUCUAUGAUUGUACCUAUUAAACUUGGUCUGGUGUUUGCUUGUGCAGGUAACUUUGAGCAAAUUGGCUGUCUUUUAAGAUUUUGCACGAAAAGCUGCUUAAACCAGUUGUUUGAUCUUAGUUUCUUAUAAUUCUGCAGGUGUAUAUAUUUUGUAUUUAACAGUAGUACUAGAAACUUCUAAUUUCUGAAUAUUUUUUGGGAGAAAUUCUGAAGAAAAAAAUGAUUGGAGCAAUAUAUGGCUGAAUGAUCUUAUUACAAUUUUUUUUUCCCAUUUCAUUUGCUAUCAUUUCUAGUUUACAGUGUUUGUUCAACCAUUUUAGUUUUAACUGUCUUGAUCUUUGAUAUCCUAAUGAGUCGAACUGAGUAGUUAUAUAAAGGGUAAAGCUCCGAGACUAUAUUUAGAGUGAAGAUUCAUUUUAGUCCCUUCAAAAAAAUUGACAUUCAAUAUUGUUUUUCAUAGUAAUAAUCUUUGGAAACAAUAAAAAAUAGUCCCUGGGAACUCUGUCCUGAUUUUGUAAGAAAUCAGUUCAUGCAUUUUAGACCGGAUAUGUACUUAAAUUCAAACUCAUUUACAAUAAACUCAUUUUUAACCAAAUUUCAUGUCUCAAGCACCAAAUUUCAGCUUGUGUUGUGAUAAUGCAAAUUAAAGGCACCAAUAAGUAUUAAAGAUAGACCCGACAUUUUCACACAUCAAACUUCCAAGUCAAACCAAUAUAUAUCUUUUGCGGAAAUCAUGAAUACUAUACCAGCAAUAUAUAUCUACCAUCAUUUUAUGACUUUAACCCAGCAACUCUAACACCCAAAUCUUUUAAAAUGACCAAUAACUUGGUAAAACAAUAAACUAGUAUCUACAGAACAAAGCUUGACAGCAUAUUAAAACUAGUUUUUUUUUCUUUGAGAGGGUGAAGCAUAAAACUAGUUAGUAACCACAAAACAUGAAAUUCAGUCGAACAUUACUCAUAACUGCAGGAAUCAUCUUUAAUAAAGUUCCUAAAACAAAAGCAUUAUACUUCCACAUGGUGGAAAUUACAUUAAAUUCUGAUAAAAAUCUAAAUAUAAACAAUUUUACAUUAAAUUCAUUUUUAACUAAAGUCAAUGUAAUAAAAUCAAUUCACUCAAAAUAAAUUAUCAUCACCACUAAAUUAAGCAAUUGAUUCGACUUUAUAUGCAAGGAUUCAUUUCUACUCUGGCAAUAGGUUAAUUAGUAAUUAGUAUUUUUUAGAUAAUCAUGGAUAUCCAAUAAGCACAUGUAAUAAUAAGUCUAACACACACUUAGACUUUGUCAUGCUAGGACUAAUCUUUGAUAAUUUGACAUGUAGAGUGUAGAUGCAAUAACAUUGUCACUUUUACAUUAUAGAAGUAAAAAGAAAAGUCAGAAAAAUAAAAAGGUGAGUAACCUCAUGAAGCUUCAAAACUAGUGUACUUUAUUUAUUUCCAAAGUACAAAAAAAAGCAAAAAGCCUUAGAAGUGCCCGUGGAAUUCGAUUAGACAUGUUCAAAGUACUGUGGCUGGUUGGUUAGGGUAAAAGGAUGAUAUUUUGCUCACACUUUAAUUUCCAACCAUUACCUCUAAUAAUUUAUACUUUGAAAAGUGAUUUGGAAACAGAAAUCCUGAAGUUAAGGAUAUAAAGACAGCGAUGAUGGGAUCAUACAAUGAUUUGAUCUUUUAAUUUGACCAUUAUUUUGGUGGAGCGUGUGUGUGAAGAUAAUUAUGUAGUAUGUAUGAACAUAUGAAGAUUAUAUACGGCGAUUAAGGCACAUUAUUUUAAUUUAACAAUGCAAUUAUUAAUAGGCAUAAGACAUCUUAGUGGGUCACUUUCAACGGUUUCUAAAAGUUUAGUGUAUAUGUUAUUGAGCAAAACACAAGUUAAUUAAUGAAUACAAUCAUACAUGAUCACUCUUUUAGGGUUCAUUUACUUAAAGUUGGACAGUGAAAAAAAUAUAUUUUAAAUUACGGUUUUAUAUUGCUAAAAAAGGAUGACGAAUGUGGCAGAUGGAGUUGCCAUUAUGGUCAAAAUACAAUUAGAAACCUUCAAAUCUUUAUAUUGUUGAUGCAAUUGCAACUUGUCAACCGAAAACUAAAGAUAGAGGUCAGUAAACGUAUGUUUGAUUGUGCGGCGGAUGAGACAAACUAAAAAUGGAAACUGAUUAGGUGACGACGGAUGAAUGCAACGGUGACAGUGUGGUGUUUCAGCACGGUAGUGGUGUGGUCUUUACGAUGAAACGAAGGUGCCUACAAACAUGUUAGCACUUCAACGCUCAAGUCAAUGUAGGGAACAAGGUUGGAUGUGUAAAAGUGUGUGGAAAAUGAACUGUAUCUUAAGGGUGACGUGAAAUCACCCUUAUAUAGGAGGAGAUGCUAACUACUUCCGUAAAAUGCGACGUCUCAUCAUGAAGCCAUUAGGAAGUGCAGGUGCGUGAUUCAGUGCGGUGGUACACACUGUUGCUGGCAUGCUCACGCAUGACACCACCCGUUGGUCUAAAAGAUUUUGUCCACGUGUUGUCACAUGAUUGGUCUUCUGAUUGGUCCAAAACAGAAACUAUUUUUUAAAACUUCAAUUUCAUCGAGUAUUUAAUAUUUUUAUCACCGCAGAAACAAACAUACAUUAAAUGCACUAAUUAAACCCUUUUUAACGAGUUUGCUCAUGCUACGGAGUAGGUGAUACAUCUCCAUUAUAGAAAAAUGGCAAUGCCUGACCAAAAAAAAAAAAAAAAGAUAAAUGGCAAUGCUUGAUUUGACUUAUUUGGUCUUUUCUCUUUGAUUUUGGCGAGCAAUAGUUGUUGGAGAAAAUUGAACAAUAAUUAGAAAGAAACAACGACUCCAAUUGUUUCUAAUUGACAAAGAUUUGUGAUAUUGAUAAGGAUCAAGACUCCUAAACGUGUGGAUUUUGGAAGAGUAACUUGGCAGUUCUUCAUAAAUAAUUUUGGAUGGCUAGGGAGGGAUCUAUGAUUGCUAUAGCUUAUUGAUUAGAUUUUCAUUAUGUCAAUAAAUCAUGUUUAUGGUUCAAUCAAUUUGCAUUAUUAUUGGUGAUUCAAAAGUCCAAUUGAUGUACAUCGAAUUUAACACUUGCUGACUCUAAUGCACGUGUGCCAUGCAUUAAGGACAAAAGUUCCUAUGAUGUUACACUUGUAGACCAUAUAUUAAGGGGUCCACAAUCAUGAAAUCUCUACCCCUAUUCUCUAUGUUUCUCUCAUACUAGCAUUUCAAUUUGAAUAAUUUGGGGCAUGGGGCAUGGGGGUGUUAUUAUCAUAUAAUUAAAUUUUUUUUUUAAGCAAAAGAAUGGAUGCAUAGGGAUCUCCUGCCACAGAAUCCUAAUCAUAUAUAAUAAGAAAGAAGUACAAAAAGUGAGUGGGGACAAAACCAAGACCCUCAAGAAAAUUAAAAGCUAACAGGAAAAACAAAAACCCAAAACAAAAACAAGAGAGAAAAGACCCGCAAAAGAGCUAGUGAGGCGAACGGCUAGGAGGUACCCAUCUUGAAACCUUUGCAUGCUUUGGACUGUUGCUUCUUGCUUUUCUUCUUUCUUGGGACCACAAGUUGAAAUGGUUGGCCAGUAUCUCUUGCUAAAUCAACAGUUUCAUUUUUCUGACCCAUGUUAGCCCAAGAAUCACUCAAAAAAUCUAUAGUUUGCUGGGCCACAGAAGGGACGAGUCCUAAAACUUGCAUAUCGUGAGUAACAUUGGCACUAAAAUUAGACAAGUUAGGGUCGGUCCCAACUAUGGAAUCAUUCAUUCCUAAUUCAUGCUCAAAGUCAUUCAGAGUAUGAUCAUUACCGUAAUCCAUAUCAGUCACCGCAUCACACCAAGGGUCAGUGAUACGCAUAUCAGCAAAAGAAUUGCUAUGUUGAUUCCCAUUAUGAAUCUCAACCUGAGCUAAGGUGUCUUCCACUUGCACAUGAAGAGUUUCAACAGUAGAAGAUGCCUCUUCCACUAACUUAAUAGCAUCUCCUACGUUCAUUGUAGUUGUCAUCUCUCUAAACCUUAUAAUAUCAAAAUGACUAGAGCUAGUAGUAAAUCAAAAUAAAUACUACAUAUUUUAUGGAAAAAUAGUUAUUAAUUUCAUAAAAAUCCAGUCAUGUAAUGAAAUUGAAAAUCUACUUUUAUCUUUGUGUUCUUUUUAAUAAAUAAACUUUUAUCUUAAUUAGUUCCGUUGAUUUUAACACAUGUUUAGAAAUGCAAUGAAAUCAUCUCCUAGAUAUCUAGACUUGAGGGCGUUAAAUUUCCUUUGUAAAUACUACCCCCUAUUGUCCUUGUUGCAAUGUUCAUCGGAGAAGAAUCAAUAUGUAUCCGCUCUAUACGAAUCAGAUGUAUUAAUUAUCACUAAAUUUAAUAGUGAAUAUUUUUUUAUUGAAAAAUGCUAACUUAUGCUCUAAGGACACAAGAUAAAGAUCUAAAAAUAAAAUUAAGAAAUAAAUGUUGCAUUGAAAAUAUAAGGUUUUGAGUUUUUAAAAUUAUGAAUGCACAAUUUACAAGAUUAAAUUUCUACAUAUAUUUCUUAUCAUGUGCACUUAAGGCACAAGUUAGCAAAAUGCUAGUUAACUCUAGGCUAAAAUAUGGUUUUAGUCCUUGUAAAUAUGUCUCGUUUUGGUUUUAGUCCCUGUAAAAAAAAAAUUGUUUUUGGUCCCUGCAAAAUUUUUUGUUUUUGAAAAUAGUCCCUGACCCCACUUUUGUGAUGAUUUGCAUACGUGACACAUUAUAACUGAACCAAUUUUGUAGUUUUUGAUCCCUGCAAAAUAUUUUGUUUUUAAAAAAGGUCCAUGCAAAAUUUUUUGUUUUCAUGGACUAUUUUCAAAAACAAAAAAUUUUGCAGGGACCAAAAACAGGGACUAAAACCAAAACGAGGCAUAUUUGUAGGACUAAAACCAUAUUUUAGGCUUAACUCUAUUCAAAUUUUAUCUAUACUAUAUAUUAAGAAAACUAUCUCUUUCAGCUCUUUUGGACUUAAUUUUUUUUUCUUCAAAAAAUGCCCUUGAUUUUUAAUAAAAAUAACAUGUAAAAAAUAUAUAAGAAUAAAUUUAAAUAUUAAAAUAAAAGUCUAACAAACACAAAUGUCCAGUUUUUUCCUUUAUCAUUUAAAAAGUGUAACAAACUAUAUGAUUAUAUUUAUACUUACUUUUUCAUUAUCUCAAUUAUACCAUUAAAUAACAACUUUUUUUAUAAUAAAGAUUGUUGUUGGUGUCAUUAAAAAAAUAAGAAUUUAGAUUUUUUUUUUUGUUAUAUUGUUGGUUUUACUGAAAUAGAUAAUCAUUAUUAGUUUGAUUUGUUAUAAUUUGAAAACAAAAAAUAUUUAUAUUUUUACUUUUAAUCAAAACUAAAAUUUCAUAAAAAACACCAUUCUUAAUUUUCAAACUUUAGCGCAAUAAAAAAAAAGGAAAGACGGACACUCUAGUGCCCGUCUUUUCGCUAGUGAUAUAAUAAAAAACAUAAUUAUAUUUUGCACCUUAAUUAAAAAUGCUAGUUAACUCUAUUCAAAUUUUAUAAUAUAAUAAAAAAUAUAAUUAUAUUCAUCAAAUAAUUAUUUUUCUUGAUUAUUAGUUUUUGAUUUUUUUUUUAAGAAACUAAACUAACCCAUCCAGAUUGAGACCUUGACGAGGGCACCCUUCAAUCCUUUCUUUGAAAUUUUGUUUAAUAAGAUUAUCAAUUGAAGAGUACUUUUGAACUGCUAACAUUAUAUAUAUUGAUGUUAAUUGGAAUUUAUUUUAUAUUUGAGUCUACAAUAUUGUUCUUUUUUAGUUUGUUUAUAUUUGAGUUAAGAAGGAGUAUGUAGAUAUAUUAAUAAUCUUGUGUACACUAAAACCAUACAUCCUUUUGCCAAUUUUUUCCACACACACAUCAAAGUGGCCUAUCUACGAACACCACUAGAAAUUGAGGCUUACUGCUAAAAUAUUUGCCGACAAUAAGAGCCAAAAACAUAAUCAAGGGACUCAUGUAUUUGAAGGGAGUGGUGGUAAUGAGUUCUUAUGCAUGAUUAAUAUGUUGCUCUACUAAUUAAUAGGUUUUCUCAGUCGAAGAUAUCUUGCAACUACUUUAUUGUCGGACAAAUAUUCAAAUAUCUUCCACUGAUCUUAUUCUAAUAGAUUUUCUCCACUCGUAAAUAUAUGAUAAACACCUAGCUAACAGCCAAAACCCUAACUAGGGGAAUAUAAACAAAGUUAAAAAAUAUUAUAUUAAUCACCAAUAUAUUUUAUUGGUUCUAAAGUUAUAGGAGUCAGAUUCCCAUGAGCUUAGCUCAUUUAGUAAGGGAUAAUACACAAUAUGUGCAGGGCCGAGGUUCGAACUCCGGACACCUCACUUAUUCAUCUUUAAGGUGAAUUUCUCUAGUCACUAGGCUACUUGACAAAAAAAAAAGUUAUAGGAGUCGGUCAAUUUAAUUAUUCAAAUAGCAAAACUCCAAAAUAAUCAAUACAAUUAAAAAUAAGGUUUAAAUAAGUUUUUAGUCCCAGUAAACAUAACAAAUUUUAGUUUCGGUUCUCAUAAAAAAAGAGACAUAUUUUGGUGUCUAUUAAAAAAUUCAACACACAGUUUUAACCCUGUUAAGUUAAAAUUUGUUUAAUUAUACUUAAAAUUUUAAAUUUUUUACGGUUAUGUUAAGAAUAUAAGAAACUCUAUUACAAAAAAUUAUAUAUAUUUUUUUUAACAUGUAAUGAAUUAAAUAUGAAUUUUUCGAAACACCAAAAUUUCAGGAUUAAAGUAAUAAAAAUUUGGACUUAAAAAAUCAAAUUUUGAGCUAAUUUUAUGUGGAGGGACUUUGUAUAAUGUUGUAAAUUACUAUGUUAAAAAUCAUUCAAACAUUUAAGCUUAACUAAACAAAGUUUAAUUUUACAAGGACCAAAAGUAUGUGAUGAAUUUUUUUAUAGGGACCAAAACAUGUCACUUUUUUAUGAGGACUAAAAACAAAAUUGACUAUAUUUUUAUGGACAAAAAAAUUAUUUAACCCAAAAGGACUGAAGUCAUUGAUUAUUUUCAACUUUGAAAACAUUUAAAAAAUUUGAUAAUAUUAUACCAAAUUGUUACAUCCCUCUAAUUUUGUUAAUAUUUUUUUUAAUAUUGUUAAUAUUAUUCAUGUUUUGUGUAAAGCAAUGGGUACUUGAAGGCCCGACAAAGUCACUUGUUUUUUUUUUUUUAAGGAAAAGUCACUUUUAAUAAACAAACAACAAUGUUGAUGAAAUAAUAAAGCUUCAACCUUAAAAUCAAAGGUACACAAUUAUAAGUGUGAGUCCAAGCCAUUCAAAACGAUCUUGUAUUUCAUUCCUAUUCAUCAUGUGAUAUGCAAUUUAUACCAUAAGAUUAAAAUAAGACAACCUACAUUCAACUAUGAUAAUUUGAGUUCAAAAUACAAAAUCAAAACAUGAACUAUAAGAUUAUGCCAAUUUAUAUCAACGAUUGCGUGAUUGUGUGAAUAUUUCAAAACCAUAAGCUACAAACUGUAGAUGUGUUCAUAACAUGUCCUGAGGGAAAGCAUCAAUGAGAUGAUUUUUCAAAAUUUAAGAAAACAUUAAAGUAAAAAUGGUGGGGGUUAGAGGAUGAAUCGUAUAAUUAGGCUAAUGCAAGAAUUCUCAUAUCAUAUAUAUAAAAAUAAAAAUGGUGUCUUUUGUCUCUUCUUUUGAAUGUUAUGGGGUCCCUUGAUUCUGCUUCUUUUGGCUGACAUUCCUUUUUUAUAGUGUCUUUUGAUAUCCUUUGAUUCAUUCUUAUUCCUUUUUUUUUUUGGUGGCCAAUGAAAUAUGUUAUCUUUUCUUUUUUGCUACAUAUAAUUUGUUGCUAUCAUUAUAUCUGUUUAUUUUAAUCAAUGUUUCACUUUCUUAGCAUCUUCAACCUUUUCUAAAUUAGUUAUAAAAAAAGCAUAGGGCCAAAAUUUUGACCUAUGGUACAAAACCUAUAUAUAUAUAUUUUUAACCUAAACCGUUAAAUUGAAUGUAUCAAAUUCAAUCAAGAUGCAUAGUUGGCUAUGUAGCUGGGCUUGGAACUUCCCCAUCUGUAUACAAAAUGAAGCAGAUGGGACAAUUGAGGAAGAUUUGGAAAUCAUGCAAAGACUUAUGAUGCACAGAAAAUAUAGCAUGAAUAAUAGUUCCUCUAUCAAAUCAGGGGAUUCAUAUUCAAUGUUCAUUGAUAUGGCAACGGACAUUGUGGUGCCCUAAAGUUGUAUGCCUAGUAAAGGUUGAUAUAGCUUUGCAUGCGUGUGUUGAGAUUUGACUCAUUGAUUAGUUAGUAAGAAUUCCAUUAUUUUAUAAUUUAUCAUAUACAUGUAUGUAGCAAAUUCACAGCAAAAAGAUUUCAACAAUUUCACAGUGUCAGAUGUUGACUGUUCACUUCAGAUCGGAUGAUGCAGAACAACUAUUGCGUCCACAUAGUAAUUGUGUUAUAUCCAAAUUCAUAUAAUCACUAAUCAGUGUGGCCUCGAGGGAUGAGUGUGCAUCCGCGAGACCCCAUUUUGAGAGGAAUACCAAUUUUUGUUAUGUAUUGAUAUUGAUAUUGAUAUUUAAAUUUUACAUCAUCAUAUUAAUAUAUAAUUUCAAAAAUUAUAACAAAAUAUUUUACUCUUCAUCCCAUAAUAAAUGAGUCAUUUGCACAAAAAAAAUGUCCAAAAUAACUGAGUCAUUUCACUUUUGAAUACAAUCUUAUUUACUUUGUUUUCCUUUAUAACUCAAAUUAAUACUACUUUCAUCACUCACAAUUCAAUAUAUUUCACUUUGCAUUUAUGAUAGUGGAAAAUACAUACUUAACAAGAGCACUUAAAACCAUUUUUCUCCCACCUUCAUUUAUACAUUUUUUUUAAUAUGUGUGAAAUGAGCAAAUGACUCGGUUAAUUUGGGACAGAGGGAGUAUAAGAGAAAUGAUAUUUCAUAUUUGUAAAAUCAUUUUUUGACAAUUUUCUCUCUCAAACUCACAUUAUGUUUUUACUUUCUCUGUCUAUUGGUUUUAUCGGAUGGUUGGCACUUCAUUAACAACACUCAAUUGAUUUCAAUAAAUAACCAUGUAACAUAAAUGACAUUCACAUUUCCUUGACCAUGAUUCUUCUCAUUUCAAUGUCUUCUUAGUUUAUUUGUACACAUCAUCCCUUUCAAAAUCGAAGACUAACUUUACCGUUCUUCUUUCACCAUCAUGAUGAGAUUUUUCUAUAGUAAGAUAAAUCGGGUUAUUGUUGCUUGAUGACGAACCUAAUUAGCCUGUCAUCUAUAACUUUAUAUAUCACUUGUGUGAAAAAGCAUGUCACUCUAUCAACUUCAUUACCAAGUUUAGAAACAUUGAGCUCAACAAUGUUCUCCUUUAGAAUCAAUAUUUGGUUUCAAAUCAACUUAAAUUUCAAUAAUGUUUUGUUUCAAUUCAACGGAAGUCUCAACAAUGUUUGGUUUCAAUUCACUAUAAUAUUCAACAAUAUUAAUCAUGUCUUGAAAAUCAAUGAAGCCUCUCAAAUUUUGAAUCAAAGCAAGGGUUAAACAGCAAGUGCAUUCAAUCGGAUAAUUAUUUUUUGAAGGAAUUGGUUAAAUUUGUUAGAAAUGAUAUAUUAAAAAUAUCUUAAUCAAUAUUGUUACUAGAAGUUAUUUUUACAUAUGCUGCACUUAGAAAGCUGAAAACGACUUUUUACAUUCUUCCAAACAUAUAUAUAACUCCCAAACAUAAUUUUACACACCUAAGAUAUAUAUAACAAAUUAGAUUUUAACAUUACGACCUCCGGUUAAGUUUGAAGAGAUAUUUUAUCAUCUCAUCUAAUUGUCUUGGAUAGUCUUAUUUUCAUUUUGCGAAGUUAUCUUUUACUUUUUUUUUUUGGGAAAACAUAGGUUAUCUAAUUAUUUUGAUUAGCGAUAAGUUCCAAUUCUAAAUUAAUACAAGAAGCUACUGUAACUCCAUAGCUUGAUAGCUUCCACUCUUUGCCAACAUAGCUUUAUUGUUUUCUUUUAUUUCUUUGGAGAAAAAAACCAUGUAAUUUCACUACAACCAAAUUUUGGAUAUUGGAGAAAAAUCUCUUAAAUUUUGCAGAAUGGAGAAAAAUAUCUUUAAGAAAGAAGUUUUAUAUGGCUAAUACACCUACGAAGUUCAAGGGUUGACAUAAAAUACAUGGAAGAAGGAGAAUAAAUGUUUAUGUGGGACUGUAUAUGCAAUACGCUUCAUCCGAGGACUAUAAACAAUUCGUCCGGUGUGCUUGUUGGUCUUUGUGCCGACAAGCAUUUUCUUUAAAAACAUGCACAUAAGUUUUGUCGUUCAUUUAAAUGACCGACUAUCUCUAUUUUUGUCUGAGAUUGAACGUUGACUACCUGCUUAAGAGAUUCAGUUAUUUAAAAUUGUGUCAUAUCGUUUUUUUUAUUAGAGUUUUGUACAAUUUAAAGUUGAGAAAUUCAAAGUGUAGCAAGCAAGUAGCAACCACCACAUCAAAGGCUCAUCAACUGGAACCACACAAAAAGGAGAUGGACCACACUAAAUGGACCUAGCUAAUUAAGAUUAAAGGAAAAAAUUAUCUUCUUGAUUAACUGAAUAGAGAGCUAUUACACUCAACCAUCAUAUUGUCUAUUCUAUUUGAUUAUCAACCUAUCACUAUAUCUUAAGAUAAUUACAUCACCUUAAUCACCCGUUUUAGAAAAGUGCUAAAGUCAUUUUUCCGUUCUAUAUGUCACUAGUGCUAGUGCUACACUUAUAUCUAUCCUUGUUUCCAACCAAACUUAGCACUUCAUAUAUGAAGAUAAAAAGUGAUUAUUACGGACUUACUUUUAUGUUUUAGUUUUAAAAAUAUAAGAAAAAUUGUUUUUAGUCAUUGUUAUUUUGGUCGAUUCUCUUUAAUAUUUGUUUAUAGGAACUAAAAUUGAAAAUUGAUACACUUAUUAAGAUGGAAAUGAUAUUUUCCCUCAAUUGUCAUGCCUCAAACCAAGUACCAGAAGAUUGGAAGAUAGAAUCUUGCAAUUAAGUACGAAAAUGAUAUUUUAACUUAAAUAUUUACUAUGAGAAAAAGAUAUACUUUAAAUUUUAAUAUGACAUAAUGGUGAUGUUAAAAUUAAAAUUCAAUAAAAGAACAUCCAUUUCCAAUUAUUUAUUUAUUGCUAAAUUAAAGUAGAAAACAAGGUUGGCACCAAAAAAAAAGGGUAGGAAACAAGGUACUCAACAAGUGUCCACGUGAGGAACAAAAAAUGUAAAAUGUUUACAUAAUUUUCAGCUCCAUUAUUUUAAUGUCUCACAAGUCCAAUAUUAAUGAAACACUAUAACACCUUGGAUUACAAUCAGACUUAAAUUUUCACAAAGUUUCAACCCCACCACUUGAGAGGUUAAGCAUCAAGAAUCACUAUAAAUACAAGACUUUACCUGAAUGAAAAACCAAUAACAAUCAUAGACAUGAUUAUGUCCUUAUUUUUGAACAUAACCUGUUACAUUAUGUUCAUUUGUUCAUAGCUUCUUCUCUUCCUCUAUAAACAAAUUCUAAAACACCCCCUUUUUUUUUCUUCCUCUUAUCAUAAACAAUGUCUACAAACUUAAAUAAUCUGUCACUUUUUCACAAAACCUUUUCCCUCACCUUGUUUCUUUUCUCAGUAAAUUUUCUUUUCUUUCCAUGUUGUAACUCUCUUGAUGAACAAGGCCAAGCUCUUAUAGCAUGGAAGGAGAGUUUAAACACUACUUCAGAUGUAUUAGCAUCUUGGAACCUUUCAAACCAAACACCAUGUAAUUGGUUUGGUGUGAAGUGCAAUUUACAAGGAGAGGUAGAAGAGAUAAACUUGAAAUCAUUGAACUUGCAAGGCUCAUCAUUGCCUUCAAAUUUUCAACCUCUCAAGUCCUUAAAGGUUCUUGUCCUCUCGUCAACCAACAUAACAGGAAGGGUUCCAAAAGAAUUUGGAGACUAUCAAGAGCUCAUUUUCAUUGAUCUCAGUGAAAAUUAUCUCUUUGGAGAAAUCCCAGAUGAAAUUUGCAGGCUAAGCAAACUUCAAACUUUAGCUCUUCAUACAAACUCUCUUGAAGGAAAUAUUCCAUUCAACAUAGGAAAUUUACCAAGUCUUGUGAACUUGACACUCUAUGACAAUAAACUCAGCGGCGAAAUUCCGAAGAGUAUUGGCUUAUUAAGUAAGCUUCAAGUAUUCAGAGCUGGAGGCAAUAAAAACUUCAAGGGUGAGCUGCCAUCGGAGAUCGGAAGCUGCACCAACUUGGUCAUGUUAGGUCUUGCAGAAACCGGCAUUUCCGGUAGUAUUCCUUCUUCAAUAGGGAUGCUAAAAAAAUUACAGACCAUAGCCAUUUACACAACUCAGUUGUCAGGCUCUAUACCAGAAGAGAUAGGGAAUUGCAGUGAGUUGCAGAAUCUGUAUUUGUAUCAGAACUCAAUUUCUGGUUCAAUUCCACCUCAAAUUGGUGAGCUCAGAAAGCUUCAGAGUCUACUUUUAUGGCAAAACAAUAUGGUAGGAGCAAUUCCAGAAGAGCUUGGAAACUGCAGAGAGCUCAGUGAGAUAGAUUUGUCAGAAAAUCUUCUCACAGGUAGCAUACCAAUCAGUUUUGGAAAGCUAUCAAAUCUGCAAGGACUUCAACUGAGUGUUAAUCAGUUGUCAGGUAUUAUACCACCUGAAAUUUCAAACUGCAGUUCUUUGAUUCAGCUGGAAGUUGACAACAAUGCUAUUACUGGUGAGAUUCCUUCUGUUAUUGGCAACUUGAGAAACUUGACUCUCUUCUUUGCAUGGAAGAACAAGCUAACAGGAAAAAUCCCAAAUAGUCUUUCAGAGUGUCAAAAUCUUCAGGCACUUGAUCUUUCAUACAACAACCUAACUGGUUCGAUACCAAAACAACUAUUUGUGUUGAGGAAUCUAACUCAGCUUAUGCUUAUUUCCAAUGAUUUGGAAGGAUUAAUACCACCUGAUAUAGGUAACUGCACAAGUCUCUACAGAUUGAGGUUAAAUCAGAAUAGAUUGGUUGGUACCAUUCCAUCUGAAAUUGCCAACUUGAAGAACUUGAAUUUUUUGGACUUGCACUACAAUCAUCUUGUAGGGGAGAUUCCAUCUCAGUUCUCUGGUCUUAGCAAACUUGGAGUGCUUGAUCUCUCCCACAACAAGCUCUCAGGGAAUUUAGAUGCUAUUUCUAACCUUCAUAAUCUUGUUUCUUUAAAUGUUUCCUUCAAUGAAUUCUCUGGUGAAUUGCCUAACUCACCAUUCUUUAGGAAACUCCCUUUCAGUGAUCUCACUGGAAAUAAAGGUCUUCACAUUCCUGAUGGUGUUGCAACUCCAGCUAACAGAACAAGAGCCAAAUGUCGUGUUAGAUUAGAUAUGGAGAUUAUAUUGCUCAUUCUCUUGAGCAUCAGUGCAGUACUAAUACUUCUCACAAUCUAUGUUCUGGUUCGUGCUCAUGUUGCUGACGAAGCAUUCAUGAGAAAUAACAAUUCGGUGACAACUUUGUAUGAGAAGUUUGGAUUCUUCUCUAUUGAUAACAUUGUCAAGAAUUUCAAAGCAUCUAAUAUGAUUGACACCACAAAUUCUGGAGUUUUGUACAAGGUAACAAUUCCAAAAGGCCAUAUACUUACAGUUAAAAAGAUGUGGCCAGAAUCUAGAGCUUCUAGUUCUGAAAUUCAAAUGUUAAGUUCAAUCAAACAUAAGAAUAUCAUCAACCUUCUUGCUUGGGGAUCCUAUAAGAAUAUGAUGCUGCAGUUUUAUGACUACUUCCCUAGUCUGAGCUCAUUGCUUCAUGGUUCAGAAAAGGGAAAGUUAGAAUGGGAUACUAGGUAUGAAGUCAUCUUAGGCCUAGCUCAAGCACUUGCAUAUUUGCACCAUGAUUGUGUGCCUUCCAUAUUUCAUGGAGAUGUCAAAGCAACAAAUGUGUUAUUAGGUCCUGGUUUUCAUCCUUACCUUGCUUACUAUGGCCGGACAAAAAUUGCAAGUGAAAAGGGUGAAAAUACUGAUGCCAAUCCAGUUCAAAGACCUCCCUACUCCGAGAGUUCUUAUGGAUACAUAGAUCUUGGUAAUUUAUCUAUCUAUCUAUCUAUCUAUCUACAGGUCUAUCUUUAUGAUCUCAUUUCCCGCCUAAAACAUGUUUUAGUAUCUAUGUUUUUAGGCAGGUUUCACUAGUACCAGUUUUUCCACUAUAUUUAAGUUAGUUUGAGUAGUAAUUUUCAAUACUUUACAUAAACCAUUGCACAGUACUUAUUUUUAUUGUUUUGGCAUGUGUACAGAGCUUGACUCGUUGCAGAAGAUCAAUGAGAAAACUGACGUAUACAGUUUCGGUGUGGUCCUACUUGAGGUGCUGACAGGAAGGCACCCAUUAGAUCCAACUCUGCCAGGAGGUAUACACUUGGUUCAAUGGGUUAAGAAUCACUUGGCUAGCAAAGGAGACCCAUCUGGAAUUCUUGACUCAAAUCUUAGAGGGACUAAACCUACUGUUAUGCAUGAAAUACUACAGACUCUAGCUGUGUCAUUACUAUGUGUCAGUACAAAAGCUUAUGACCGUCCAACAAUGAAGGACACUGUUGCAAUGCUCAACCAAUUUCGAUACUUUGCUUAGAAUGUAUUAAAGGGAGUUUCAGUAGUGCAUGCUAAGAAUAUAGUUUCACAUGCAUCUUCUAACUGUUCCUUUAAUUUCUCAGAUGGCUUAAUCUGUUGAAUAGAGCCAUGCAAGAUUGCAAGUUGUAGAGAACCCAUGAUUGUGAAUGAUGUAAUGGAGUGCCAGUUAGAGCAGGCAAGAAUUACUAGAGUAAUUAAAUGUAAUCUUAGAUAUAAAAUGCAAAUUUCAAUUAUCCAUAAUAAAAUGCAUUCUAGAACCUUUAACUCAAGUUUUUAGUCUAAUUGGCUUCUCAUCAAUGUGACUGACAUAAAAGAUCUCCUUGGCCACAAAUCAAUGUGACUGUUUUAAGUUUUAUUUGCGGCAAACAAUCUAAAAUUUAAACAAAAGGUCACGUUUGGAUAAACCGAUGCUGUCAAUUGCGGAUCACCAUAAGUAACAGUUUAUUCAAAUUCUGCUUAUCUGCUAGGCAGCAAUGCUAUAGCGCAACUAUAGCCACUAUUUCACAAUAUUUUGUACUAAGUAGCGUAUCAUUGGACGACAGUGAUUUGUUCAAAUUCCACUAUGCAAUAGUGUAGUAGCACCGUAUAGCUGCUAUUUAACAACAUCGAUUCUAAUUCAUGAGCUUAAUUACAUGCUUAUUCAUAAAACGGUUGGACGGCUUAUAAAAAUAAGCUCAAAACAGUUCAGUGAAAUAUCACAUGUAAUAUAAAUACUUAUGUACCAGAUAAGUUCAAUAAGUUCUAAAUAAUCCUUGAUGAUAUUUUCGUAUGCCAGAAGUGAUGAAACAUCCCUAACUACCAACAAAGGAAGUUCAAGAAAGAGAGCAACCUAGAAGAUUGUGGAAGCUAAAACAAGAAUCUCCUAGGGAUAUGAUAUGUGUAAUUUGGGCAUACAAACUAAGAUUCCUAAAUUGCAUCCCUAUCUUUCUCCCUCACACACACAGCCUUUGAAUUCAAACAAUGACCACAUGGUCCCAUCCCAUGUUCAAUUCCUCACAUACCAUGUUCCAGCUGAAAGAGACUUUCCAGCGAUUGGAAACCUCCUUCAGAAGCACAGAUACUAAGAUUGUAUACCAAUAAUUACCAAUAAUCAUAUCCACAUGCAGGACCACUAUAGUGGAAUGAAGAUAACAUAUAUAAGGAAUACACAGCAAAUGCAUAUCCAAAUAUGGUCAAUGGAAUUUUCUAUCAAAUGCAAGGCUCACAAAAUUUCCUGUAAAGACAAAAAGUAUCGUAUUAUACUGUUUAAUAAGUUGUUUCUUACAUUACUUUUGUCUCUACCAAGGAAAAGGACUAAAAAAUAAUUCAGAACAAAAGCCUGAGGACCAAGAAAUACUUGAAUACGAGAACUCAUAGUGAGUUUGUCAUCUUGUAAAGUCAAGUUGCUUACAUUAUUCUAAAAAUACUCUAUUUUCUCACAUUUUCUUUUUCUUUAAAUUCAAACAAUGUUUUGUACCCUCAUCCAUGCAUGUGUAGAAUUUUUUAUUUACAUAACAAAAAGUUUAACUCUAAUCUAAGUCGCAACUUAAAACUUUGGCUCUUUCUAAGAAUGUGUUUUAUGCAAGAUCAAACUGAAAACCUCGUCCACAAACUCAGGAUUACUUAGUGCCGGAAACAAACACAUGAUAACACCAAAGCUUGAAAUCAAUUACACCGAAGCUUGAAAAUGCUUCACAAAAUUCAACAACAUCAUAACACAUUGAGAACACCGAGAAGCAAAAAGCAUCCAAACAAAAGCUUAACAAACUAAGUCACACCCAUAACGCAUUAAAUUCAUUGGUAUUGGUACUAGUUUGAUUAGAGAAUACUAAUAAUAAUUGAAUUAUCAUUUUGUAGGCAACAAAAACAUUAACAACAUAUCCAAAUUUUCAAUCUCUUUUCACCAAGAGAAAAGAAUCUCAAUAAAAAAAGGCAACCAAGUUCAUAUUCAAAACCUAUGAAGAACUAACAGACACCGACAUUAAAUACUAGCAACUCGAUUGACAUGGACAUGGACACCAGACAGACACACAACGCUAAUUUGAGAAAAUAACAUCAUUGGAUGCAAUUACGUGUGUCAAUAUCGUGUGUCAAUAACAUAAGUCGGACAUCAAACAAGUCCUCAAUCAAAAGUAUCGACCCUAGAGAGGUCUCAACCCUAAAUUUCUUUUCUUUUCACAACAUUGACAACUCAAACAGAACAAACAAAGCUAAAUAACAGAUAAAAAUAUAAUCAAAACAAACAAACAAAUGAUAAUGUAAAACAUUAGAUUUCAUUCACUAAAUUAAAAACAAAACUCAAAUUCCAUUCAUUCAAAUCCAACAACAUAAUCAAAACCAAUUAUAACAAUACAAACAAAAAACAAAACCCUAAUCAAAAUCAAUCAACAUUCUGCAUAAUAUCUUCAGCACCAAACUUAGUACCCUUCUCCUUAUCAGCGGCAGCACGUCCCUUCGCCUUCCUCUCAAGCAACGACUUCCUAUCCUUAUCCAAUCUCAGCUUAGUAACAACAACUUUGGAAGGAUCAACACCAACAUUAACAGUAGAACCAUUAACUUUCUCACGAGUAAUACGUUCAAUAUGAAUAACCCAUUUUUUGCGAUAAACUUGAACGAUUUUACCUUCACGGCCUUUGAAUGUUCCUCUAACGACUUGAACUUCAUCGUCUUUGCGAACUGGUAUGGAACGGACGUUGUAUUUGGAUCGGAGAUCGGUGGAGAGUGGUGCGCUCAUUAUCACACGGCGGAGACUUGAUGGGGCCGUGAAAUGCGCCUUUCGACUCUUUCGGCGGCUGCUUGAAACUCUUGGAUUGAACUUCAUCUUCUUCUUCACCUCUCUCUCUCACACACUCUCUCUGAAUGAAGAAUUAGGGUUUCGAUUUCGAACCUCAAAACCUUGUUUUGUGAUGAUGGUGAAAGAUUGGGUUUGGGCUUGGGCCUUUCGGAUCUCCGAUCAAAUAGCAACUUCUGGGAUUGAUGUUUGCACCCUCUUUGUUCUUGUAUGUAAUACUUUGGACGAUGUCUAAAAAUAACCUUGUAAAAUAAAAAAGAUAAAUAAUAUUUAUACAAUUAUUUUAUGAUAAUUUUUUGACAACUCAAAAAAUAUUUAUUUUCUCAAGUUUUAUUCUAGAAGCGAUGUGUUAUUAUAAGUUUUUAAAACAAUUUAUUUGAUCUUAUUAGGGAUGUUAAACAAAUUUGCACCAAUGAAUAUAGGAUAAAAUUCGUCAGAAACAUGAAACUGAGUAAUGUAAAAUAAGUAGAUAUUUUGGUUAUCAAUCAAUUAAUGGAUACAAAGAUGGAGUUCAUGGUAUUCUUACCUGUCGGUUUUCAUACAUGUUAGUAAAUGAGUAAAAUUAAUAAUAUGUCAUAUUUUAAUAUAAAACUUCUCCACAUGAAAGAAACUCUUACAUAAUAUUCAAAUUCUUGUUUAUUGUUGAUAAGAAAUUUCAUAGUCAAAUUGAAAAUGCAAUGUAUUAAUAUUUUUUAUGUUUUUAUGUGUUAAUGCUUUUUAGAGUUGUCAAAUGAUGAUGAAGAAAUCCUACACAAUACAACUAAUAAUUGCUUUUUAACAUAAUUGCAUUUGUUAAUAAAUAUUGUUAAUAAAUAAUGUGAUGGAUGUUAGUAUCUGCAUAUACACAGAGAUAUUUCAAAAUCCGCUAAAUAUUCAUUUAGCUUGAAUAUAUUUGUAUCCAAUAGAGCAUGUAGUGGAUGUCUAUUUGUGUUAAUGAAUAUUCAUUGUCAUAUCUCAUGUACUUUUAUUGUUAAAAAAUGAAGAAAAAAAAUGUAUUACAUCAUAAAUAAUAUAUAUAAUAUUUUUUUUGAAGAAGCUAAAAUGAAAUUAAUUCAAAACGCAAAGAAUCCUAGCUAGCACGAGGAAGGCUAGGCUAGGAGACUUAAAUAGCAACAUACAAAGGAAAAAUGUACCAUAUGUAUGCGGAACACUAAAACAAACACUCAUACAUCAAAUAAAAACUUUUACAAAAAACACCCUCCAUUGAGGGCCCCCGAAACCAAUAAAAACUAAACACCAAAACCACAAAGUCAUCUCCCAAAACCAAAGUAUAAACGCCCUCCAAAAUAACUAUCAAACCUACCAAAAACUUGUGCAACCGCACCUUGCUUCUCAUCUGCAGUUGAACGCCAUUAAGCACACCACUAACAUCCAUGUAUUUGAGAAACCCCAUCAACAGUAAACUCAUAGAAGAAGACCCACAAAAAUCAUAACCACCACAAGCACAAUCACAAAAACUAGCAGCACCACCACCACCAAAACUACCAUUAACCACCACAAAAAUCACCAUUACUCGUCACCAAAGACCAGCACCAGUCACCACAAUUUUGAAAUGCAUAUUUAUCAUAAAAAGUUUUUUGACUAAAUAUUUAUCUUAAAAUUUAAAUAUAAGAAGUAUUGUGAUUAAUUGGCAGUAUAAACAAAUAUACACUAAAAUCCAUUUUAGUAUCUCACAAUUUUGUUGCUUCUUGCAGGUCAUUUAAAUCUCUGACAAAAAAUAAUAACAAAUUAGUCCCUCAUAUUUUCAUACGGACGGCAAAUUAUGCCCUCAAUUAAUCUAUGACUGGUGCUAGUCACACAAAAAAAAAAACUAGUUACACUCAAAUUUAUUUAAAAUUUUACAAUAAUACCAAAAUUGCACUCUUCAUGUAAAUUUUUAAAAACCCAUCUUUUAUGAUCAUUCUGAACCCUUACCCCCUUUCAUCCACAAAUCACCAUAGGUGUGCAACCAAUAUCUGAAUCAACAUCUUUGUUAUUGAUCUGUACUAUAUUCAUAAAGGUUAGUGAAUUUCAUUUUCAAUGAGUUUCUAUUUGUUUUGGUAUGAGAUAUGUUCAAUUUAGGUUAGUGUAAAUUAAGUUUACUUAUGUUCAAUUUAGGUUAAUGUAAAUUUAGUUUACUUAUGUCAAUGUAAAUUAAGUUUACUUAUUAUGUUCAAUCUAGGUUAAUGUAAAUUUAGUUUACUUAUGUUCAAUCUAGGUUAAUGUAAAUUUAGUUUACUUACGUUCAAUCUAGAUAUAAGAGGUUAGUGUAAAUUCAGUUUACUCAAUCUAGGUUAAUGUAAAUUAAGUUUACUUAUGUUCAGUUUACUUAUUCAAUCUAGGUUAAUGUAAAUUUAGUUUACUUAUGUUCAAUGUAAAUUAAGUUUACUUUCAAUUUAGGUUAAUGUAAAUUUAGUUUACUUAUGUUCAACUUAGGGGUAUAUUAGUCAUUCUAAGGUGUAACUUGUUUUUUUGGGGUGUGACUAGCACCGGUCUUAAUCUAUUCUUGUAUGAUGAAAGUAUUAUUAACUAAAGUAACAUUAUCAUUUCACAAUUGUCUCGAAAAGGAUUAUAACUAUGCCAUUUGAAGCUACAAAAUCAAAACUUUUAGUAUUGAGUUGAUACCUCAUGAACUGAUGUAAUGGUGAUGACUUACUCCUCUCACAAAAAAAAUACUCUCAGUUAAGUAAUAUUAUGAUUUUUGUACCAAAAAAAAAGAAGUAAUAUUAUGAUUUAUGAGCCGUUACUGAAGAGUUCUCAGACAGGUGCAUCCAACCAGGUUCUGCAAGUCUCCAUCAUUAUGAAAAACAAUAAAAAUCAAAAGUUGCCAUUAUAUCAUCAAUACCACUCAUACAGCUCUAGAAGCUGUAAAUUCUAAUAAUGGCUUUAAUUGGAUAAAUAAUCAUGUUGCUGAUUUUUCUAGAGUAAGUAGACUUUAAAACAAUCUUACAUCAAUUGUUUACAUCAUAUCAGACAGCACCAUCAAAAAAUGGGCACACAGUGUGCUCACAAGUUGUAGCAUCUCCUAAGUGGUGCUUUCUGCUUUAUCUCACUCAGCCUCAAUGUAAAAAAGAAAGUAGCUUCAGUGAACUCAGACAAGUGCAGUCAUGUUUGUGUGCUCAAAUGCAUUAUGGCCUUGAGCCACAAAAUGAAGCAAUGAAAUGCUGGUUUUAUUGCCAUAGCAUUAUGAGACAAUGGACAGCCCUACCAUAAUACACACUAUACAAAUACAAUACAUCAAACAUGAUGGUCCAUGGACCCCACCAAAUGGAUUUCAGAUUAGUCUAUGAAAUUUGGAUGUCCCAGUUGUGCACUAUGGAGGAUUCUGCUCAUGCCUAUCUAGUUUGUUUACUAUGAUGCUAAUGACAUUCCAGUCAAAACCACGAUAUUGAAGCCAUCGAAUAAUCCUUGAUUUCCUUGUCUCCUUCGGAACAUUCUGACCUUUGAACCACUGCUUUGAGGCCUGAACAUAAAGAUGAUCAAUGGAUUGCUUUGACAAGCCAAUAACUGUCUUCUCUUCUCCAGCACAAUCAUUGUUGUCCUUAAAAACCACUUCAACUGCUUUUUCAGCAUCAGUUUGACUAACUCCUUUCUUGAACAGUGCCUGCAACAAGAAUUAAAGUCCAUCACACAAAAAUAUUUUCGUUGAUAAUAAUAGUAGCAAGUAUAUGGUUCUUAAACGCAUGCGCGACCAUGAAAACAAUGUCACAGGCCAUGCCUUAUCCAUAAGCUCUCUAGUAUUAUAAAGUAAUAGGACAUAAUUAUGAAAUGAACAAAAAAGUAGAUGCACAUUGCUAGGUUAAUUUGCAAGAUGCUGUCACAAUGUACGACAUCUUUCACUCCUAAUACUACAUAAGUUAAAAUGAAGAUGAGUUUAGCAAGCACAGUAUAAUCGAGAUACCGACAAAAUAUUUCGUCUUUCGACUUGCUACGAAGCUAAUAAGUAAUAACUAAAGACAGCAAAGUGUUGGCAGUGUAUUAGAAAGCAAAAAGUACAAGGAUGAACAAAAGGCCGGAAUAGACUAGCUUACUUGUUUGAUCCGUCUCGGCCCCCAAGUAGACGAAGACCAUCUAGAUUGAGAAUAUGAUUCAGCAUACAGCCUAUCAUUGAUGAACCCUCUGAAACAAAGGGAUAAAAUCAUAAAACAUGACCAUAAUCCCAAAGAAUGUAUUAAAAUUCAGCAAAUUCAGUUUUUUAUAAAUGAACUUGAAAAGGUACAUUACGAAAAGUACUACACGUGAUUCUUUUCAAACUGCAGAGAAGGUUUACUGAACUAGUCAGACAUUAAAUUUUGUUGCAAACAUGCUGUUUCACACAGAUACAAGAAGCACUAUCAUAUAUUCAUAUUAAUAUCAAUCAAAUUGGUUUAUAUAAACUUUGAAAUUUUUGGAUUCUUGUAUGAUAGAUUAUUUUAAAUAGAAACCUGCAUAUAUAAAUUAAUGAUGUGCUUGAACUAAUAUUUAUUAUAGAGUAUGUACUUUUUUUUUUGUCUCCAUUCCUUUUUCCCUAUUGUCUGUUGUCUAAACAUGUUACAUCCAUCUUCUCUUCACGCAAAAAAUGGAGGAAAGAUAGCUCAUCAGCUUCGAGGAUCUAAACAGUUAAAACUCUUAUAAAGGUGUCGCUAUGUGUUGAUAAUCUAAAAAAUAUCGAUAUUAUCAACUACAUCAAAGUUAAAAUGGUAAAUUAAUAAGAGGAAUGCUAGCAACACUCUCUUUUGAGAACUCUCUCCAGCACUCACUCUUUUAUUGGGUGAAAUCAAUGUAGGACCUACACUUUGGAAAUGGAACCCACAUAAAGUGGUGGGACAUACAUUGAUUUCACCUAAUAAAAGAGUGAGUGCUAGAGAGAGUGCUCAAAAGAGAGUGUUGCUAGCAUUCCUCAAUUAAUAAACAUAUUCCUAACUACACAGGGUGGAUCACUCUAAAACACUCAAAAGUCAAAACAAUCAUUCUUCUUCUACACCGGAUUAUCUAGCUACUAUUCUCAUGGAGACCCUGCGACUGAUUUUACGUUAGCUAGAGUUGCAUCUGUUAUUACGGAUGUUAAGUCAUCUUCAUGACAGCCAUCUGUAUCUGUUAUUGCAGACAUCUUAUUUUCAAGGUCAAAAAUCGCGUAACGUACAUAUUCUUACUUAGUUAAACUGAAUAGAACAUGAUAAAAACUGGAUUUUAGAAAAGAAAACAAAAUUUCUUAUAAUGGUAAUGUUAGGAUACUGGGUUGGACUUAUGCCCAAUAAAUGGGUGUUGAAUAGGAAAACUGGAGAGGGAUGGCUGAUGUGGCAAUUAGUUGGAAUAUGCAACAUGAUUAUAAGGGGUGGAAGUAAGAGAGGGAACAUUCAUUCAGAAAUAUUGCUAGAGUUUGUUAGGAGAUUUUCUCUCUGGUAGGAGCAUAUUGCUCUGGUUAGGAGUUCUUGAACUCUGGUUAUCCUUUCUUUUUCCGUUUCCACCAUUGUAAAGCUCGAGUUCAUCACUUUUCAAUUCAAUAAUAUACGGUUAAAUUAUUUAUUUUACUGGGUUCUAUCAGGUACAUUUGGAAAUGGCUGAUAAAUAACAGUCCAACAAUUUUGUUAUGAAGUUAGCUACAUACUGUCUCUGGAGCUUGUUUAUCACUGCCUCCACUGCAUCAGGAGAGAAUCUCUUGCUAAGCAAUUUCUUUCUCAACUCAACUGCUGUGAGUGCCCUGCGGAGUAAGAAGAUAGGCAUGCUUAAAAGAAAAGACAGCAUUUGGCAUUGAAUGUAUAUGCACGGUCCUAAGUCCAAAAUGUAAAAAAUAUUAGAGGCAUGUUAUUUGAACCAUUUUUGGGACAACCAAAGAUAUACAAAGAAAUGUAGGUAGUGGCACGAAAACCAGAGCAAUAGAGAGAGAAAGUAAGAACACAAUGAGAGUAUGAGAGAGAGUUGUCCCAAAAGUUGUUACAAAAUGGUUUUACAAAUAUCAUUUCUCAAAAUAUUAGCGGACUUGAAUCAUUAUAAAAUUUCUUCCCUUUGUUAAUAACUUACAAGCAAUAACAAAUCCAGGUAAUUAAAUGUUUUGAUAGUUGAUUGAUACUGUUAAAAAUGUUUCAAAAGGAGAUAGUAAUUACAUUGCAGAAGUAACACAAUAUGCUUUGAAAUGAUCGUUUAGCUCUGUGGUUUUAUACUGCCAGUUUUCUUCAGAUAUGUGACAAUUGCCUUACCUCGGUAGGAAGCACAGUCACAAUUGAAUGUCAGUGUUAAGAACACGUGAUGUAAAGAGACAAGAAAAACGAUAUAUUUAUCACGAAAAUGUUUGAUUUCUCUUGCACUAAAUUAGGAAAACAUAAUGCUUCAUAUUCUCUUCAAUUUGGCUGACCAUGCAGCAUAAUAAACUAUUGUUGUGUUGAACAAGUUAUGUUUCAAGUUGGAGAUGAGGGAACUAACCUAGAUGCAAGUAAUUUGACAGCCGAUUGUUCAGCAUCAUUGGUAAAUUUGUCAACACGUAUGAAAUCCUGUUCACAAGAAUCUCCAACCUCUUCCAUUUGUUCAGAACCUAGAAUCCACAAAUUAACAUGAUCGGAACAACUUUAUUUCUUAGAUAAAAAAGUUGUAAGUGUUAUAAGUUAUAACUAUGAUUUUAAAGCUUACUAAAUGAUUUUGUAGCUGAAUAUUCUGUCACAACAAAUUGAUAGAAAGAAUUUAAAUUGGCUAAAACAGGAUAUGAAAAAACACUUGAUGCUAAAAUUUUAAAAGGUAAAUUGGAAAAACAAAUGAACACGGUGAAUCAAGAAGCAUAAACCUAUCAUGAUCAUCCAUCCUAGAUAUUAAUGAUUAAGGAGAUUCUAUCAAGCUCUAGAGAAAAUUAAUGUUGGUUACCCAUAAGAUAAGACAAAUACUGUUUUUCCUUUCUUCCCAGUUUCCCCCCGUAAUAAUUUCAAAUUUUUGUUAAGAGCUUACAUUUAUUCAAUUUAUCAGAUACAAUGACCCUCAACUAUAAUGAAAACUCUGAACCGCGAACAAUCUCUCAAUAAAUGGAAAACACUAGUCUUUAUACAUAUACAAAAUUUAUUGAACAGUUUAGCACUCGGUUAAUCAUGGUUUAAACGGCAAAUAAUCAACUGUCUAGGGAUGAUUUAAAAAGUGAACAAAUAGUGUCCAAAAUAUAUAGCCGGCCACAAAGUAAGCUCCGAUGUGUGUCUAACACAGAUCUAGUUCCCCUGACCCAAUUUUUUGUUACAUCUAAUCCUGCAGGUGUAUCCUAAUAAACUCACCACAUAGAUAAGUUAUAACUUCACCUACAGCAUGCUGGUACUUUGGUAAUUGGUACAAUGUAAGAAUAUCAUGUCACCACACUUUAAGUAACCGAUCUCGUGCCAAGCAUCAAAUUUAAUUGUAAGGCUUAAACUCACAGUUCUUUAGUGUCUAGAUACCUCGUGAAUUGGUAGUACUGAUGUAGUUCUGCUGUGUAGUGAAACACAAGUAACUCCAAAAUGAUAAAAUCAGUGUUUUCAAAACUGAAUGAACGGACCAACCAGUUGAACCUUGAAUUGACUUUUAUUAUAGGUCGGUUAUUUUCACGGUUUCAUCUCUGUUCGGGCGGUUUAAGCUAGUUGAACCAUGACCUAGAAGCCUCGCCGGUUCAAUGUCUAGUUAGGUUUUUAAAAAAUUGGAUAAAUAGAAUGACGUCAUAGGCCAAAUUUGGAUUAACUUAAUGGAAGAUUUCAAUCAAAAUAAGUUUAUAUUCUUAAGAAAAAGUACUCAUAGGCUAAGUGUUCGAGCAUAAGUUAAAUGUGAAAGCAUCUAUAACUAGUUUACCUUCUUCACUAUCAUCAAAGAGCAACUCACUAUGAAAUUCAUCUAGAUUUUGAGAAGUUUCACAAUGUGCAAUUGUUGCAUGCCCAAUUUUCCCAUCAUUUAUCUUGAUUACACUUCCAUCAGCAAAACUACAAUACUCUAAAUGACGAAUUUUCACCCUGCAUGAUGUGUUAGGAAUGUACCUAACAGCAACACAACAAGAACUAAAGUCUCUCCUCUUGAAGCAUUCAAUCCGAAACUUCCAAAUGUUCCUGAUUUCAAUUUCAAUAACCAAAAAACACAAGUCAUAAAAAAAAAACAAAAGUUAUAAGAAUCAUGACCAAAACAUUACAAAAUCAUGACAAAAACAUUACUACAAAAUAUGGCCCUGUUUGGAUAAACAACAUAUUUGAAGCUUAUAGCACAAGCGCUGACGUAUAAGCUAAAAACAACUUACUAACAAUGUCUUAAGCUGUUUCCAUAAGUUCUCCCAAACAAUCUCACGAAACUUAUGAGAGUGGAUAACCUCAAAUGAGGAACUAAAAGCUUGAAUUUUUACAAGAAUUUCCAUCAACCCAUUACAACCAAUUGGUUAGCUAAAUUUGAACUCAAUUAUUAAUUAAAAACUGAAAAAGAAUCAAACUUUUCUGUGAUUUUAUUAAAAGCUUGAAUUUUUACACGAACUUCCAUCAACCCAUUACAAUUCAACCAAUUGGGUAUCUAAAUUAGAACUCGAUUAUUCAUCUAAACUGAAAAAGAAUCAAACUUUUCAGUGAUUUGGUUUUUCAACUGUAGCAAACAAAUGGGUCAUAAAUUUUUGGAGAUAAAUGGAAUAAUAUAAAAUAGUAGUUACCUGGGAAUUGAAUAAAUGCGAGGUUGAAGAUGAGAUGUGAUUUUGAAGCCAAUGUUUCCCGCUAAAUUUCUUGCCAUGUUCAUGUAACCAAAAUUUGCGUCGUAGGAAGGAUUUCUCACUCCUUGUUUCUUUUCAUUUUGCACCCUCUUCUUUUUCUGUUUUUUUGGUCCCUCUUAAUAAAACGUAUAUACUUAAUACCUAUGAUAUUCUUGCUUAAUUAGCCCUCAAAUU